GCGCCGAUCGAUGUGGAAUCUUUUCUUUUUUAGCAACUUGGAAUCUUUUUUCACACAAUGCAUAAAGCAUGAACUACGAGUCCACCCGCGCUGGCGUUGGAUGUUUAUGGAACAUUAUCCUGUGCACUUGCAAAUAAAAUAAUGAAGACGUUUUAGGGAUACCAAGAACAAACAAGACCGAGCUGGUCCACCGUCGCGGGCAGGCCAAUGGUAACCAGGGCUAGAUGCUCGCGCCGUGAUGGACAGCUAGGGUGUGGUGACAGCCUGUCGGAAAAAAGUGUUAAUUAGACUCCUUUUUUAAGUGCUUACUUCUGUGUCAUCAGGGGCGAAGCGUUAUUGUACUGGUGUUGACACCUGUGGCCUGCCGUAAUCCUUUUGUAAGCAAAGUGCCUUAUUAAAUUAUAAAAAAAAAGACACCAGUCCAUCAAAGAUGACACCAGUAGUUCUAACUCCGCCCCUUGGUCAAAUUAUAAAUUAUAUUUCAUCAGUCUCAUAUUAAGUGACUCAAAUUUGUCUAAAUAUGGAUGUAUCUAUACCUUAAAAUCGUCUAGAUACAUAUAAUAGAAAGUCACUUAAUAUGUGACGGUGGGAGUAAAUAUUAAGAAGUUUGUAUUUUCUGCGGAAAUUCUUAAUUUGAGACAGAAGUAAUAUUGAAGUUCUCCAUGCUCUUUGAUAUGCCAUUUUCUAGGCUCUGUAUUAAUUGAUGCACAUAGCCAUAUGAUAUACAAAAUCGACUCAAAACAUGUCAAUUUGUAUUUGCAUAGCUAGGUUGACUUUUAGAGAUAAGCCACGCCAGAGGAAGAGGAGCCUCACUCCCCGGAUUUCGUCGUGUGAUCCGACGGAGGCCACUGAGGUGGAUGGCCGCCCGGGGGAUAGGCAUAUCCCGGUAGCUCUGCCGCUCUCCUAUUGCUCCCUGUGUGCAUGGUCGUCGACAUUUCUAUCUCGUUGCGCUCUCUUAUGCUCCUUGCACGAAUGGUUGUUGACCUUUCUUCUCAUCGUCUCAUUUAACCGCCCGAAAUUUCAAAAUUUCCCCGAAUCCGUAAGUCUCUUUUGCAAGAUGUUUGGGUGGAGUUGCGAAGGACUUCCAGGUGACAAGCAAGCUAGUCGAUCGACUUUGCCUGCUCUCAGGUUCUUUGAGAGCUCUUGUUUUGUGGUGUAUUUCCACCUCUCGGGCGCUAGCAGCACGAACUUGCAUGAAUUCAUACGAUAGAAAAGGAAGAAGAUGAUAGCUGGUCUUCUCCUCGAGCAUCUGGAGGGGGUUUGGACCCUCACCAUUCAUUUGCUCAGAUGGUUUGAGUUCCCCCUUCAGCACAACUUACCGUGGCAAAUGUUCCCACUGUUUAUAAGUCUGAUUUUGAUCGGUUGGGAGAACAACCUCUUUCUCCAUGGUCAAAGCAGAAAGAAAUUGAUUUGGCGGAGGUUGGUUAUUCAGAGGAGUCCAUUCAAAAGAACAAAGAGCGCCGAAGAUUCUUCCCGGAGCGUGGAGCUUUUGGUUUUUUAUUGUUGGUUUUCUCUACGUUGAAGGUCGGAGAUUAAGGUAAUUCAAAAUUUACAGGCGUCAUCCCCGCGUUAGUUACAAUCUGCUAGGGCACAUUCAGUUUCGUCUUCAAUGGCUUUUACUCCGGCUUGGUUUAGUAAUUUGCAUGAUUGCAUUUUUUCUAAAAUGAAAGACAUGCAUGGCCCCUCAAACAACUUUCUGAAAUUUUCAACAAUUGAAAUGAUUUUAGACGAAAGAUAAAUAACUCUCUGCUGCGAAUAUUACUUAACUUAUAAAUGCUACCCCCUCCGUCUUUUUAUAGGAUUUUCUAGUUUUGACCCAAGUUUCAGCUUCAAUGAAGGAGUAUGUUAAUUUGGUAUUCUAGAUGUUAAGUAUAUCUUUUUAUAAAUUUGAUUAAAAUUUCUCACCUGAGAGCAUCUUAUGAAAAGGAACAGAGCGAGUAUUUUCUUUGUACCAUGAGGCAAUUUUCCCAUAUUGUGAAAUAACCACUCAAUUUAGUGUCAGUUAGGGUAAAUUUUCUUGUAUCUUGGUUCUGAUCAAUCACGGGGAUAAGAAGCCCACCGGAACAGGAUCCAGGCAUGUCACUACUUUUAUUUUGCUCCCCUCGGACGUAUUAAAAUGGGGUCCUUAUCACGUUAUUUUAAGCAUUUUGUUGACAUGACACAUAACUAGUGAGAAAACUAUGUCUUAUGCUAGCAACUUCUCUUCUCGUAACUCACCAACAGAAAGGUAUCAGCUCUUUCUCGUGAAAUUAUUAAAUAAAUGGAGUAUUUUAUAUACCGCGUUAACAGACACUGCAUUAUGAGCUAAGGGACAGCGUUGAAGGAAAAUGCGUUGAAACUUGAAACAGGCCUCAUCCACCCUCCAUCCUAAUCGGAUGGCCAGUAGCCCGUGGGAGUCGGACGUGUCGGCCACAGCGAGCGAGCGCAGCAGGGGAAGCGGGAAAAAAAAAAGCUUCGGUACUCUUCCGCGAAAUUGUGCGGGCUCUUGCACGGCUCUCCCGCGGUGGGGAGCGAGCUCCGGCGCCGGCAGGCCCGUCCACGCCGCGCCGCCGCUGCGAUAAGUACCUACGCCCCGCGCCGCCACCCGGACAGGCUCUUCCGCUCAGCGUCGCCGCCCUGACAGGCUCCUCCGCCAGCCGCGUCGCUCCGCUCUGACGGCUCCCUGCGACCCCUCCUCUCGACACAGCGUCCUCCGCCAGCCGUCGAGGCAUAGCUUCGGCAGCCCACCGGACACGCACGUGUUGGACCAGGAGGCCCAUGUGGUGCGGGAAUUGGGAUCAGGCCGCCGGACCAAGCGGCCCACGCCUCCUCUUCUUCCUAGCCACGCGUCACUGUCUAGCCCUGGUGUGCUCGUCGACGAAGGCGGCGUUCUCUCCACUGCUCCUCCCAGCAGAAGUAGGUAUCUCUGCUAACUACGGUAGACCUCGUCAACGUCAACGGCCUCAUAGCUAUUGCUUUCCAUAGAGUCUCCUUUUCUUGUUGGACGUAUUUCAUUCUCAUAUUGGUGUUUUGGGUGUCGGGGGAGACGAAUUGAGUGUGAUUUAUUUUGUUUACUUGUGAUGCAUAUUUUGAUUGUGCUUAUGCAAGUGCCAAAAGAAUUAUUCUAGGCUACUUCCUAACAUACUGUGGAAGGUAAUGAAUUGAAUUAUCCAAAGAUCUGUAAUACGAGUACAAAUUGCUCAUUGCAUACCUCUAUGGAUGGCUAGAUGAAAUUUUUGUACUCCCUCUGGCCAGACUUACUCGUCGCAGAUCUGUAGUGCUUUGUACUAAAUCUGUGACAAGUAAUUCCGGUCGGAGGGAAUAACACUCUUGCUUUGCAGAUGAAUGUACUGAUUAUCUUGCUUUGCAGAUGAAUGUACUGAUUAUCUUACUUUGCAGGGAAAUUAAGAGAAACUAAUGGAGGUUGGUGCAGCUGUAGUCGGUGCCCUACUGAAGAGCACCCUGCCUAAACUCUUGGCGGCGAUAGGAGAAAAAAGGAAGCAGCUGAAAGGCCUUGAGGUUGAUGUUGGAUCCAUCAACUGUGAGCUCGAGUUGAUCCAAAGCAUCAUUGGUUGCUCGAGUGGCAUUGUUGUUAGUGAUCGUUGGAUUGCGCAACUCCGACGCUUGGCAGAUGACAUCAAGGACUGCAUAGACCGCUUCCACGUUGGGAAGACGGCAAGGACCCGUUUUGCUGGCCAGAUUGCUGACCUCAAGAAGAGAUCGAAGGAUACACGGAAGCAGUUAGAAAGCCAUAUCCGGAUGGCUAAAUCUGGCGGUGCAUCGACCUCCACAGAACAAACUCCUCUGACUGCUGAUCGUCCCGUGGGCAUGAAGGAUGCGGAGCAGGAGCUUCUCGGUCUUUUGCAGAGCGAACCGGAGGGGAAGCUGAAGGUGAUCUCCAUCAUUGACUUCGGUGGCCAUGGUAAGACUCUUCUGGCCAAGCAUGUUUACCAUGACAGGGAUGUCCGCAGUCAGUUCCCUCAGCGUGCUUGGGUCCUUGCUGCCGGCAAGGAAGCGCCAGUGGUUCUCAAGGAGAUACACCAGAAAGUGCUUCUUUUAAAUGAGCAAGCCGAUGUACAUGCUGGUAGCUCCAGCAUAGCCGUCCCAGUCGCACAAGUUGAGAAGGGCAAGGACAUCCAGAAGGAGGUUCAGGUUCAGGAGAAUCUUCUAUGCACGUAUGUCAAGAAUGCUGCUAAUACCUCUACCUCCAGCGACGACGACGAGCGUGUUGACUCUGAAGGCAUACAUGCUGCGACUGAGAGUACCUCCAACAAUAAUAUGGAUGAGAAGGGCAAAGGCGUGCAGAUUAUUGUGGAGGAGAUACAUGAGAAUGGUGUUCAUGAUGCUGAACUUGGUGCGAGUACCUCCAAUGCCGACCAGCAGGCGGUAGUGCUUCAGAAGACCAGAAGGUGAUUGCAGACAUUCCACAGCACUGGUUAAAUUUUAUCCAUUCAUCGAAAAUGUGUUUUCUUGUUUUCUGGAAAGGUUUUCAAAGUGCAACUUGAUAAACUCCUGGCAAUUAGAUGCUAAGCGUGCACUUGAACUGUGAUGCCGGCUAUGGUUAUGAGUCAUAAGACAAUGGAUAUGUACUAACUCUUUUUCUUCUUAUUUCUAUCUCAGGUAUUUGAUUGUAAUUGAUGACGUAGAGAUGGAAGAGCUGCACGACAUAAUAUCUGCCUUCCCUUGGGCUGAUGGAGUGGGUGGCAGAAUUAUCAUGAUGACGACCAUUCAGUCGGAAGCCACACGCUGCAGAUGUGGUAAUGGUUUACCACUUGCUCUGGAUAGCACAUCCCAGUUUUUCAUUAGAGAGCUCACAGAGACUGGAUUUGAAGAAGCCUGCCUCAAACUUUGUGAUGAUGCAUUAGAGAGGAUGCAACGCUGCAACUUUCAGAUUCUAUCUAGCCUUGCUCUCCAUGACUUGUUGCUUUAUUUCUGCCUGUUUCCGCGUGAUCAUCCUGUCAGGAGGAAUCCUCUAAUAAGGCGAUGGCUAGCUGAAGGACUUGUACAACCAGAAAAUGUGGCAGUCCAGAAUUUGGAGACCCUCAUCAACCGCAAUAUCAUUCAUCCCAUUCAAGUAGGCCAAAAUGGGAAGGUGAGCAGGUGCCAGCCUCCGGGCAUGAUGCUUGACCACAUCUCCGACAAAUCCAUGUCAGAGAAUUUCAUCACCUUAUUCUGUGGUGAGACCAGUGAACCGGAGCAUGUCCGCCGGCUUUCUCUCCAUCCUGACAGUGCUACAAACGGUCGCUUGAACUUGCCCAAGGAUUUAUCUCGUCUUCAUACUCUGGCGGUAUUCCCUACUGCAGAUGUUGCCAAUUAUGAAGAUAAUUUGAAUUAUUCCAAGUAUGACCUACUGCGAGUGUUGGAUCUGAAAGAAUGUUCCCAUCUGAAAGAAAAACAUCUGAAGAAAAUAUGUGACCUCGUACUGCUGAAAUAUCUGAGCCUCGGGGACACUAUUGGUCAGGUUCCAAGGAAAAUAUCCAGGCUCCAACUGUUAGAGACACUCGACAUGAGGAGAGCAGAAACAGUGACAGUGCCCGUACAAGUCAUCCUGCUGCCCUCCUUAAUAAACCUCCUUGGAAAGUUUCAACUUGUUGAAGAUGAUCACAAAAGCAAGAUCCAUGAACUCGAGAAGUUCUUGUCAGAAGACAGUAAACUGGAGAGGCUUUCAGGAUUUGUCACUAGCAAUACCGAAGGAUUUCCACAGUUGAUGUGUCAUAUGGGACGGUUGAGGAAGGUGAAAAUAUGGAGUGACUCCACUGCAGCUGAAACAAACUUGACUCAUCUUUCAGAAGCCAUCCAGAAAUUCAUUCGUAAGGGCCUCGAUAUGACCAGAACUGAUCGGUCCCUUUCUAUUGAUUUCCAUGCAUGCUCAGCAAAGUGUUCAAAACCAUUAAUGGAGUCUUUGCAAGCUGCAGGCCGUCUUACCUCGCUCAAAUUGCAUGGCAAGCUGACACGAUUCCCUCAGUUUGAUGCAAAGCUAGUUGAGGAGCUUUGCCUUGCAUGGACCAAUCUUAGUGGGGAUGCUAUUCUAGAUGGCUUGAGUGUGUUGAAACUGAAACUGAAAUAUCUGAAGCUGGUUGAGGAUGACCUUGGUCCCCUCGACAUACGGCCUCACUUCAAACGGCUGGAGCGGAUAUGUCUCGUGGGCGUGCAAAGCCUGCACGGCAUAACAAUCCGCGCAGGAGCUCUGCCUCGUCUUACCUCACUCCAUAUACUCAGUGAAGCUCUAGGUCUUCUUCCUGGCAUCGACAUCACACAGCUCGGAGGACUAGAGGAAGUUGCACUCCAUUCUGGAGUCGAUCAAGGAAUAAAGGAUGGAUGGCAGAAAGCUGCAAGGAACCAUCAUAAAAGGCCCAACCUUCUGUUCAUUGAUCAUCCCAACUCCAACAGAGAUCGAGAUCCUCAGCUUCUCGGAACAAACGUGGCAACUGCAAAAAAACUUCAUUUGCAAAACUUCUUUCCUCCAUGAAACACAAGGUUUUUUGUGGUUAUCGUGAUUCUUGAAGCAGUUGAACUGCAGUAAGUUUUGUAUAUAUCCUCAGGUUCUGCCUUUUCAUCUUCACUCGUAGCUUCUGUUCAAGCGUAUUACAUCGCUGGUGCCAUUUAAGGUAAUCGAGACACAAUGACUUCAAGGCCUCUUUGUUUGACCGCAGUGUAAAACUUGGCAAUCAAUAAUGGAGGCACGUUCCAGUUUUCUGCAAGAAUCGACGCUACCAAGAUGCUUCGUUUUCUCCCUUUCCGGUCUAUGUACUGUUUUCUAUAAUCUAUAGCAAGGGGCUGUUUAGUCGCUACUGUUUUCUUUUCAUGGAGUAACAAGAAUAGUUUACCAUGCUACCAGUAGUAGUGCUCCAGUACUAGCUGAUAGAAUUGGAUUGAGGUUUGGGAUUGACCACCCAAAGGUGGCCUCCUGUUAUCUCAUACAUAUAUGGGGCUCAAUACAAGAUAUACAUGGGAGGUAAUCAAUCAUGAUCCUAACCAUAAAGGCCGGUUAACAAUAAUACCAGCGCUAUUAAAGGAGAGGAUAUGUCAAGAUCCUAACAUCCCCCGCAGUCGUAACGGGAGAUUCUCGGACGCUGAGACUGGAUCGGAAGUCCAAAAACAACGGCGAUGGUAGGCCUUUGGUGAAGAUGUCCGCGAACUGUCGAGAUGAUGGCACAUGAAGAGCUCGAAUGUGCCCCAGCGCAACACGAUCACGAACGAAGUGAAGAUCGAUCUCGAUAUGUUUGGUGCGUUGGUGCUGGACAGGGUUCGUGGACAUGUAGAUGGCGCUCACGUUGUCGCAGAAGACAACCGUGGCACUGGGGAGCGGGCGAUGAAGCUCGUGGAGAAGUUGGCGGAGCCAACUGGCUUCAGCGAUGGCGUUGGCGACGGCGCGAUACUCGGCUUCGGCACUUGAGCGCGAGACAGUGUGCUGGCGCUUCGAGGACCAAGAGAUGAGGUUGUCGCCGAGGAAGACGCAGUAGCCGGACGUGGAGCGACGAGUGUCCGGGCAACCUGCCCAGUCCGCGUCGGUGUAGGCAACGAGACGGUCGGUGGGCGAGGGAGUGAGCUGAAGACCGUGACGCAAGGUGCCCUUGACGUAUCGAAGAACCCGCUUGACCAGGGACAAGUGCUGCUCUCGAGGGUCGUGCAUGUGCAAGCAGAUUUGCUGCACAGCGUAGGCGAUGUCGGGGCGAGUGAACGUCAGGUACUAGAGAGCACCGGCGAGGCUCUGAUAUUCCGAGGGAUCGACAACCGGAGCACCAGCCGCGGCGGCGAGCUUGGGUGAGGUGUCCACGGGUGUCGAGGCCGGGUGGCAGGAGCUCAUGCCAGCACGCUCGAGGAUCUCAAGAGCGUACUGAGUCUGAGACAAGAACAUCCCUUGGGAGUCACGUCGAAUGGCGAGGCCGAGGAAGUGAUGAAGCUCGCCCAGGUCGAUCAUGGCAAACUCGGCGCUGAGAGCGGUGAUGACGCGCUCAAGCAGUGUCGGAGUAGAGGCCGUGAGGAUGAUGUCGUCGACGUACAGCAAGAGAUAAGCUGUACCGAGAGUACCAUGGAGGAUGAAGAGCGACGUGUCGGACUUGGAGCAGGUGAAGCCGAAGGUGGUGACGAAGGUUGCAAAGCGAUGGUACCAAGCACGGGGUGCUUGCUUCAGACCGUAGAGAGCACGGUUGAGGCGACACACGUGGUCGGGGCGCGUGGCCUCGACGAAGCCGGUAGGCUGGUGACAGAACACCACCUCGGAGAGUUUCCCAUGGAGAAAGGCGUUCUUGACGUCAAGUUGCCGAAUCUUCCAGUUGAGGGAGAGGGCGAUGGAGAGGAUCGUACGAAUGGUGGCCGGUUUGACAACCAGACUGAAGGUCUCGUCGAAGUCCACGCCGUGCUCCUGAGAGAAGCCACGCAGCACCUAGCGUGCUUUGUAGCGGCCGAGGGUACCGUCAGGUUUGAAUUUGUGACGGAAGACCCAUUUGCCGGAGACGACGUUGGCGUUUGAGGGAGGACGAAUGAGAUCCCAUGUGUCGUUGGCGAGGAGGACACCGUACUCGUCGGUCAUAGCAGCGAGCCAGUUCGGGUCUUUGAGAGCACCACGAACGGACUUGGGGACCGGCGAGGGAGAGGCGACGGUGUUGACGUUGAGGUUGAGACGCUCCCGGGGGCCAAUGUGCUUGCCCGCUUGCCGACGUGUCACCAUCGGGUGUUGCAGGACUGGAGCAGCCGGUGGCGCAGGCGAUGGAGAGCGCGGAGUCGAGGACGCGGACGAGGUCGACGGGUCGGAGGCGCCAGCGAUCGCACCAGAGGACGGCUCGGCGAGGGAGCCGCGUCCGCUCGAGAACGCCUCAUCGAGAGAAGCCCAGCCUGGCGUGGAGGCAGGUAGCCUAGCAGAGGCGGGUGGCCCAGCAGCGUGCUGGACCGUGGAGGCGCCUGGCGUGGCCGGCGUGGAGGAGGCCGGCGAGGACCACGGAGGCCCAGUAUUCCGGCACAGUCCAGCGUGCAUGGGCGGCACGGGGACCGAGGCGGGUACGUCGAUCGGCGACACGGGGGCGGUGGCCUGCUGCACGUUAGACAGAGAGAACGAAGGUGCAAAAGGAAAACGAGUUUCGUCAAAGAUCACGUGGCGAGAGAUAAUUAUUCGACGUGACUCGAGAUCCAUGCAACGAUAGCCGCGGUGGUUGGAGGCUUAACCGAGAAAAACGCAUGCAACAGAACGAUGAGAGAGUUUAUGUGGCAUGGUGGCGGCAAUGUUGGGGUAGCAGAGACAUCCAAAGGUGCGUAAGAGAGAGUAGUUAGGAGGAGUGGAGAAGAGACCAACGAAAGGACACGAAGAUGUAGUGGCUUUUGUCGGCAGUCUAUUGAGGAGGUAUGUGGAUGUAUGGAGAGCUUCUACCCAAAAGUUGGAAGGCAUGUGUGCUUGAAACAACAGAGUGCGAACAAUGUCGUUAACUGUACGAAUAAUACGUUCAGCUUUACCGUUUUGGGGAGAGGUGUAGGGGCAUGAGAAACGGAGGAGAAUCCCGUGUGUAGCACAUAGGUCCUGAAGGGCACGGUUGUCGAAUUCGCGUCCAUUGUCGCACUGAAUAGCUUGAAGAGACAGAGAGAAUUGAGUGGCGACAUAAGAGCGAAAGUUAGACAAUAACGAGAAAACAUCAGAUUUACGACGAAGGGGAUACGUCCAUAAAAAAUGAGUGUAAUCAUCAAGAAUGACAAGAAAGUAUUUGAACCCAGAAACACUCUCAACAGGUGAGGUCCAUAAAUCACAAUGAAUUAAUUCAAAAGGACGACGAGUACCGGUGGUAGACGCUGAAAACGGCAGUCGUACAUGACGACCAAGCUGACAAGCAUGACAUAAACUAGGGUCCUCGGACACUUUAUUGAAGGGAGCAGCGGAGGAUGACGCGAGGCGGCGAAAGGCGUCGUAUCCAGGAUGACCAAGACGCCGGUGCCAAAGAUUGGAGUCGUCGGUGGAAGCUGUGAGUGCGUGCAGAGGAACAGUAAGAGGAUAGAGAUCACCCGUACUACUGCACCUGAGAAUCACGACCCCUGUCCUGAGAUGCUUCACAGAGAAACCCCAUGGGUCAAAUUCAACUGAACAAUAAUUAUCAGUAGUAAAUUGACGAACAGAGAUUAGAUUUUUGAUAAUGCGAGGAGUAACAUGCGAGGAGUAACAAGAACAUCACGAAGAGUAAGACGACGUCCAGGAUGGGAAGAUGAGAGAAAAACAUGGCCGGAGUGGGUGACGGGAAUAGAAGAACCGUCACCGACGACGACAUGAUGAUGAGGAGGAUUAUUCGAGAGGGAAGUGAGAUUACCGGCGUCCAAAGACAUAUGAGCGGAGGCUCCGGUGUCCAUGGUCCAUUCGGUGGGAGUCUGGAGACUCAUGGUGUUGAAGUAGUUUGCGAGGGCGGAGGGGUCCCAAGUCGGGGCCGAGGCAGCGCCAUACGGAGGGUAGGCGGCGUAGGAGGCCGUCGCGUGCGCCGGCGGCAUGGGCAUCGCCAUGUAGCCGUGUGCGGGAGGACGGGGCGCUGGCAUGUAGGGGCGGGGCGCCGGGGCGGUGUAGGGGCGAGGCCCAAGGAGCCCGGCGUGGUUGCCGUAGCCCGGACCGGCCAUCGGGUACAUGUGGAUGGCGCCGGUCCAGGGAUUCUGCGGGCUGGGGAAGGGCGCGGCAGCGGUGGUCUUCUUCUUCCCCUUGUUACGACCAGGGGCGGCAGGAGCGCCGGAGACCGGAGGGGCGCCGUAGCCAACAGGUGGGGACGCGAGAGGACCACGCGGACCGCCAGCGGGAGGGGCAGAGUAGAAAGCCGUAGGCGGCGUAGGGGCAGACGAACGCGCGUUGGAGGGCUUUAGUUCCUGGAGGAGCAGCAUGUUGCGGAACUCGAGGAAGGAGGGGAAGGAUUUGAGAAGCGGCACCGGAUUGCCCACGUCCUCGUACUUCUCGUCGAGGCCCUUGAUGAUGUUCCACACCAGGGCGUCGUCGGUGACCGGGGCGCCGACGUUAGCGAGCGCAUCAGCGACUAUCUUCUGCUCAAGGCAGUAGGCAGUGAUGGUCUUGUCCCCUUGCACGAUGUUGCGGAACUUCUGGCUGAGGUAGCCCGCCCGCGCCCGCUGAUUGUCGCGGAAGAGGGCGGUGAUGCGGGUCAGCACGUCUGCGGCGGUGGUGGUGGCCGCCAUCACCAUGUCGGUGAUCUCGGGGCUGAUGGAGCCAUAGAGCCAACGGAGGACAGUGGAGUCCAUCCGCUGCCACUCGUCGGCGGCGGCGGGAGGAGGGACCGCGUCGAGGUGAUCCGUGAGCCCCUAUUGCGUGACGGCGAUGAGGAGGAAGUUGUGCCACUUGGAGUAGUUGGAGGCCUUGAGGUCGAGGGUGACGGGGAUCAAGGACUUGAUGCUCUGGAUCGCGGUGGCCUGCGCCCAUAGGGCAGCGAGGGGAUUGGCAGGGGCGGCCAUGGAGGAGGAGGAAGGAGAGGGUGAGGGGUGGCGGCGUCUGGUGCCGCUGACCCUAGGGCGGCGGCGGUAGAACUGGAGGGGUGCGGAAGCUAGGCCAGAUCGUUUGGCUGAUACCAUGAUAGAAUUGGAUUGAGGUUUGGGAUUGACCACCCAAAGAUGGCCUCCUGUUAUCUCAUAUAUAUAUGGGGGUCAAUACAAGAUAUACAUGGGAGGUAAUCAAUCAUGAUCCUAACCAUAAAGGCCGGUUAACAAUAAUACCAGCGCUAUUAAAGGAGAGGAUAUGUCAAGAUCCUAACACUAGCUAUUGUUAUGUUUUCUUUUAUCACGGUAUUUUUCGAACAGAGUUUGAAAGACACAGUAAACUGUAAAGUAACAGAAUUGCUUGGUUACACCCAAUAAUAACACAGAAAAGUUCUUAAGGCUUUUAUGUACGAUAUCGUUGUCUUAUACUCAAACUAGAAUUUGCAAGAUGUAUACUGUCAUGUGGGCUGGUACCAGCAGGCCACCAAGGAGGAGUGCGGUGGCAGCAGAUUAUAGGGAUAAACUUCCCAGUUCAAGGUGACCUUGCGGCAGCCAAGAAUUGCAUCCUACGAUCUUAAUUCGGUCUCUGUCAGAGCUUGGUGGGGUACAAUCUUCAGAGGGAAGCUGACUGUCGCGCAGAAAUGGCAUUUCUUUUGCAGCUUAUGUGCUAUGGCAGAUCUGGAUCGAGCGAAGUCAGAGAAUUUUCAGGCUUAAUGCUUCCUAUUCCGAUUCUGUGCUGAGUUUUGUGUGUGAGAACUUCAGCCUUAUGAUUCUGUGCCGAGUUUUGUGUGUGUGAACUUUAGCCUCGUGAUGGAGGCGGAUGAGGACUAGCUUUUUCUUCUUGCUGUACCGCCGAGGCUAUUUGCUGUAGUCUUGGGUCCAGGGUUACCCUCCAGGAGUCUUUAGAAAGUAGUGCAUUCCUUCCCCAAUAAGUCCUAGUUUUGUCAUAACUAUUUUUUCUGAAGAAUAAUAGCAGGUGCUCUGCUUUUGCAUUCAGGAGUAGAGGUACGACUAACAGUAGUUAGGAGAAUUCCUUCAAAACAACAGUUGUUAGGAGAAGGCCACACAAAAUAACAAACAAAAAGAAAGAAAGAAAGAGCCUGAUACUGCCAUGGCAGCUCAGCUGUACAGACAAACAAAAACUAGACCGAAACUGCCUCCAUGAGGAGCCCAAAAUCAUUUUGUCAUGAGUUAAGGGUUUGUUUGGUUUGAGUCCCAUUUGUCCUACCAAAAUUUGGCAAAUCAAAUAAUUGUAGUUUCCGUUGUCCUUGAGUUGGCAACUUCGACAAAAAAAAAUUAAACUAGAGUUAACUAAAUUGGCUUGCCAAAUAAUUGGCAAUCAUCUAAACAACUACCAGUCAAUAAACAAAUUUUUUUUUCGACAGGACAAUAACCAAAAUUCAGCAUGCCGCAUCUUGGCACCAAACCAAACACACCCCAAAUUUGUCAAAGUUUGACCAAAGUUUAAUGUAUCAACAUCUAGAUUUUUGUAUUUCAUAAAUUUAAUCAAAGUUUUUAAUUUUUUUAAUUACGACAAAUCUAGCAUUUGAAACGAACGAACGAACAAACUAGGGAGUAUAUUUUGGCCACACGUACAUCGUUCGAUGGGAACGGGCCGUCCCGUCCCAUCUUUGGCACGUACGUCACCACAAGAUCCUACAGAAGAAGACAACCAGCAGAACUUUCUCCAGACCCCUUGUCAGAUCACAGACACGAAUCUCAACCAGAUCGGGUCCUUUAUCUCCCAGAGCCAUUCCCCGCCACUCCCAACUGCCGCAACGGAUAAUAAGCUUAAGCAAGCGCAAGAACACACACACUGAUAAUCGCUGACACGGAAGAAGAAUACGAAAACAAGAGGGGAAUACAAAAGACUUACAAAGAUGCAGGCUUUCCUCUCUUCUUCGUCGAUCCUCGCGAACCCAUGCCCCAGAUCCUUGUUCCCGCGUCCAUCCACACAAUCCCAGCUUCUCCUCUCUUCCGUUUCUGGCGCGAGGACGAAUGCUGCUGCUGCUGCCAGCGCGAGAAGAUCCAGCGGCCGGUGCGUGGCGACGCCGGCGUCGUCAUCCCCAGCGGUGGCCGCGGUCGCCACAGAUGUGCCGGCGAAGAUGAAGGCGUGGGCGUACGAUGAAUACGGAGACACCGGCGUGCUGAAGCUCGACGAGGCCGUGUCGGUGCCAGCGGUGGGCGACGACCAGGUGCUGGUCCGGGUGGCGGCGGCGGCGCUCAACCCCGUCGAUUCCAAGCGCCGGAUGGGCAAGUUCAAGGCCACCGACUCCCCUCUCCCGGUUAGCUUGCUAGCUCCGGCGUUGCUUUGCUCUUCUUUAAUUUCACUUCCCUUCCAACACUUCCUAGCUCUUGGAUUCAUGAAUCGGGUGGUUGAUCGAUCUGUGUAGACCGUGCCGGGAUAUGACAUGGCCGGCGUCGUCGUCAAGGUCGGCAGCCAGGUGAAGAGCCUCAAGGAAGGCGACGAGGUGUACGGCCACAUCAGCGAGAAGGUCCUGGAGGGCCCCAAGCAGUUCGGCUCGCUGGCGGAGUACACCGCCGUGGAGGAGAAGCUGGUGGCGCUCAAGCCCAAGAACAUCGACUUUGCGCAGGCCGCCGGUCUGCCGCUCGCCAUCGAGACCGCCCACGAGGGCCUGGAGAGGGCAGGCUUCUCUGCCGGCAAGUCCAUCCUCGUCCUCGGUGGCGCCGGCGGUGUAGGGUCCCUUAUCAUCCAGGUCAGACAUUGCUGCUGCUGCUGCUUCGCUUCAAUCUGAAAAUGCCUUUGCAAGGCUGAAUUUUCUGUCCAGUUCAGCAAUAUAACACUGAACAUUUUUACCAUGGUGUAAUGUUUGCUCUUGGUGCACAAUGAAGUUGGCGAAACAAGUCUUUGGUGCAUCCAAGGUGGCUGCGACAGCCAGCUCGCCGAAGCUUGAGCUUCUGAAGAGCCUCGGAGCCGAUGUGGCCAUUGACUACACUAAGGAGAACUUUGAAGACAUGCCAGAGAAGUACGAUGUCGUGUUCGACGCAGUCGGUAAGUUCACCAUCAGAAGAUUGACAAAAUAAAUCAAGUAGUCCUCAGCUGACAUAUUCUCCACAAUGCCGGGUUUCAGGUCAGGGUGAUAAGGCCGUCAAGGUGGUGAAGGAAGGUGGCAGUGUAGUUGUCCUCACCGGCGCUGUCACUCCUCCAGGAUUCCGGUUUGUGGUCACCUCUGAUGGAUCUGUCUUGGCGAAGCUCAACCCUUACCUCGAGUCCGGGAAGGUGAAGCCGGUCGUCGACCCCAAGGGGCCAUUCUCUUUCCCCCAGGUUGUGGAAGCAUUCUCCUAUCUUGAGACUGGGAGAGCCACUGGCAAAGUAGUUAUUUCACCGAUUCCAUGAGACCGGCGAAUGGCAGAAAUUGCUAUCAGACCAUGCGGGAGUCACAGCUUCUAGACUGUAUCAAAUAGACUAAAGUGAAGUUUAUUUCAGGUACAGUUCAUAGAAUUACAAAUGGUAUAAACUGUGCUGAACCACUGAUUGGUGUGCAGUUUGAUUUGAAAGGACAUACAGUAAAGAAAGAUCUCUCUGUAUCCACGAGUUUUAUGUAACUACAGAAUUGCCGGUUCUCCAUUGCCAGUUCAGCUGUGUAUCGAUGAGAUGUUUAUUGCUUGGGAGCCAAUCUGAUCGGGCAGAUAGCAAAUGCCAUGCGGCGUGCCGCAAAGGCCAGUGAGAACCGUUCAUCCUCGGUCAGCGCCCUCUCUAUAACCUUGACAACAGUUGGAUCCUGCCAUUGGAGAUUACACUUUAUCAUAUACUAGUUGGCUAUAAUUAAAUGGGGUUACCUACUUACAUUAGAAUGUUCCUUAAGAAAACAGAUAUCUCCAAUGAAAGGAUGAAUUAUGAGAAUAUGUAUCUAAUUAGCAUACAGAUAGGUAGGGGUUCGAAUACCCUUAUCUGCAGUUGGCUGGGAGCUGGCCGAAUCCGGGCAAUGUCACCAACUCUGAUCACAUUGUUGACGUUUCCAUGUUCAUCUGUCUCUGAUGGCAAUGAAGUCGAGUGCCUCCACUGACCCCCAACUAUGAACUUGUAAUAGUACCUGAACGAGUAUAGGUUAGCUGCAGAUAAUAAAGCAUCCGAAGAAAAUAGAUCAGAAGUCAAACCAAAAUGCCAAGUUGUUAUCUGUAUUAUACUAAAAGAUUUCCAAGGCACAGAUGAAUCUUGUUACAGAAUCUUCAGAAUCAAGAAUUAACAACUUACUUUCCAUGUCGAAGUCGAACUUCAGCUUCAUGUCUCGACCCACCCUGGUGGUUACACUUCAGUUUGUCUUUCCAGUUACUUGUGAAAUCUCCGAUUAAUUCCACCUCCUCACCCUGCAUAACAUUUGUAGCAUUCAACUCCCUCAGGUCAGUAAUUAUGAAGAUCAACACAGAAAUCAAGUCUGUGCUGGAUAAAACCAAAGAUUUUCACAGGAAAAGCAUACUGCUCAAUGCCUGCUCAAUGGUACAUUCUGUUAUGGAGAAAAUUUACCUCCCGACCAUUGUUCCAAACAAAGCACACUGAAUGUGUAGGAGUGCCAUCAUGUCUUCCAUUUUCAACUAAUUGAAUGAGAUCCCAAGUUGCCCAAACGAUUGCCGCUCUGCGUAUUGAAACAAAAAGGUUAGCUCAAACAAUAACCACGACAACAGCUGAAACAGUGCGAGUAUUAGAGGAACCAGUCUGCUCUUUUACUGAGGUUCAAUCCAGACAAAUAAGGAAAACAAAAUCAACUAAAAUUACCUGUCAGGUCUACAUGAGUGCAAACCAGUGAUGAACUUGUGAGCAAUAUGAAGAGGUGUAUCUUGAACCCAAUGUAGAUAUGCAAUUACACAUGCUGGUGAUCUAUCAUAUCCAGUGGUACAAGUCACAUAUAUACGGUAGUUCUUCCUUAUAAGGCGCAAAAGAAGACCAACACAAAAAGGAAGCUUCUUUCUCAGGUCCAUGGAAUCAACCUCUCUGAAAAAGAAAAGAAAAGAAGGGCGUCUAUAAUUCAUGAAUAUCAUAUUGGAACUAAAAAUGGCAAGCAUGCAGUGACUAAACAGGUAAGAACAAUACUGCUACCAAAUAGAACAGUACAUAGCAAAGAUAGUACCUAACACCAAGUACUAUACUGGCCAGUAUCAUCUACAUUACUGUAUAAUUAAACUCCACAAUGAACUCCAUAAUGAAGGAAGAAUAAAUAUAUAUUUCAACAGAAAAGAAGACUAGUGCAAUUACUCGUUGAAAUGAGAACAGAUUACAGCAUUCUCAAUAUUACUUAUCUAAGAAACUGUAGCCAGCUAAGUUUUUCAUUCUUGUCUACUAAUAAGAUGAUGAAGGAAAAAAAAACAUAUCCUACCGUAUAGGGUAGUUAAUCAUCAAGAUGUUAUUCUCACGGCAAGAACUGUUGAUUGCCUCUGAAUUGAUUCCCCAAUUAAUGCGCUCACUUUCACUUUGGAAAUUCAGGACAGCAGUAAUACCCUGGAGCCUUUUAAAAUAUCAGAAACUAAACUGAACAGUAAAAGGCCAGGUAAAAUUGAACAAAUAAGAUUUCUGCUGAUUGUAAUGCCAGAAACCUACCACAGUCUCUGAUAACAUCUUCACAUCCUUUUCUGUUUGUAUGCAUGAUCCAACAAAUAUUUGUUCAGUAAUCUGUUAAAAGAAUAAAUCAAAUAUUCAAAUAACUUGUAUACUUGUUGAUAAGGUAAUGCUCAAAUCUUGAAAGUAUAUCUACAGCACCUUCAUGUAGGAUCCCAUAUAUAGAAAACUAACAAGAGGGAAAAGAAUAAUUUGCUGACCUUGCUGUAUUGCAUACCAAGUGAAUGGUUAUAGUACAGUUCGCCUUUAGCACGGUCUAGUGCUUUAAUGUACUCCUCCAACGGAAAGCUACCAUGUGCCCAUUCAGCAUCUAGAUCAUCCUCAUCAGAGUAUAAGCCAACAAUCUCACUUAUCCGAUUUGCAAGGUUCGUACUCUUCCUAUUUAAUCCAUCUUUCUCACGAGAUAAAAGUGACCAUCCUUGAGCACUUAGCAGCCUAGGACAAAACAUAGCAAAUCCAGAAUUCCCAUUUCCUGGAGAAGACUCGUUCAGUUUCGAGGACAAUUGAGCACUAUUCCAGGUAGCAAGAGCAACCCUCCCCCUGUUAAAUAGGAUAUGAUAAUCUUCAUUUUGAUGCAACUGAUGUAUCGGAUAAGGAGCAAAUGGCCGUUCAAGUACAAGAUUACAUGGUCCUGACUUUUCCUUCAGCGCCAUCCUGCAGAUAAGUUAUAGAGAACAUAUGACCAAGACAAAUAGUACAAGUUCCAACUUCCAAGAGUGCUCAUUAGUUGAUUUAGUUCCAUCCUACUUUCCACAAUUCGUUCAUAAAUUUAAUUGAUAAUGUUUUGAUGGAAUGGUACAGUUAAUACCAUCAUUAACUCACUCCUUUCCUUUUUGUUGGGUAGAUUACUGUAUUACAAGCUUGUUGCGAGCAUUUGCCUACAACUUUAGAUAUAUUUCAGUUAAAAUAUGCCAUCUUAUCUUGUUCCCUAAUUUUGAUAUGCGACAAAAUUGUAACUCACAACAUUUCAGCUCUAGGUUGCAACAGAUAUACAGCAUAACAGAAAAUACCUCCUAUCACAACUAUUUGUCUAUGAUACUCUGAAAAAAACGAAGAGAGAUUAAAGGGAUACACUUGUUUCAGCUACAGCAUAUAGAAACUGUACAGGUGUCAUACUCCGUGUCACCUAGGUCUUUGAUGUUAACAAGGCUCUCGCUCUGGCCUGCCUUCUUGAGCGUAUCACCGACCAUGAUGAUCCGCGACUUCUCCGCAUUCCCCUGCCACAGAUGCAGAAUCAACAGUCAGUUAAGCUGCAGGAACGUCCCGAAAUAUACGUAUAUACCCGAUGGCACCGACAGACUAGAGAGAGGUGGCAAACUAUCGUUUCCACAAUAAUGCAACGACAAAAAUAAUACUAGUUCAGUAGCUCUGAUUGUUUGGCACGUAGGAAGUAAUGCCAGUAUCCCUCGAACGCAGAGAAGUACUAGAAACGAUCAGCUCAAGUGAAGUGAGCAACAGAAUCAGAAUGGAAGGCGUUACGGGGACGAAAUAUGCAUGUGGCUUAUUACCCCUCUCUUGAGGGAGUGCACGAAGACGCGCCCGUUGACGGCGAGCGCGAAGCGGACGCCGAGAGGGCGGUCGACGGCGACCAUGUACUCGUUGAGGUUCAUCCUGACCGUCGCCACCGCUUCCUCGGGCUCGUCCUCCGUCUCCCCGCCCGCCAUCGCCACGGCGACGCCCAGCCUCCUCCUCCACCCGCUCCUCCUGCCCGUCCACCAAGCGGCGGAGGCGCGAACCCUAGACGCCGACGGCCGGGCCACUGAUCUGACUCUGACACCACCCGGGACGCCAGUGGCGGCACCGGCGGCAGAGGGCGCGGCGAGGAGGGCAAUGUUUGGGGCGGGGACGAGGUGGAGCGCCAUGGGUUGGGAUCUGAUCGGGCGGCGAUCGAGGGAGGGAGGGGCAAAUGGCCGCGGGAUCAGGGCGGGGGAGGGGGGGACGGGGGAUGGGAGGGAUGGGAAGUGUGUGGAAAGAAACUGAAAGCGGAAGGGAAGGGAAGUGCUUGGGAGUUUGCGCGCGCCCAGCAGGCCCGCACGGACGGACAGAGCCGGGCCCCAUCUUGCCAGUGUACGAUAAACGUGACUGCUACAGAGGCCGAUGCGUUUGCAUAGUUGCUUGUACUUGUUCUCUGAACCUGAUAGGCUGAUAGCACCAAAUGUUUCAUAUCCCAGUGAACCAAACCUUUUAGAAUGCCAGCUGAAUCUUACUAUACAAAAGGAAAAUAGAGCAAAAGUGUAGCGACGAGCGCAAUGGAAGCAACCUACACCAUGAAAAUGAGCUUGUAAUUGUAAGCAAUACAAGCAUGCUAGUAGCAUGCAAAAUGGAUCUUCAUGCGUAGAUAGAGGUGAGAGAAAGUGGAAGACAUUCAACGGUAAGAGGUGUGGUAAAAGAGGCUAUGGUAAAUAUGAAAAAAAAACCUUGGCGCUAGCACCCAAUGCUAAGGAAAUUAAAUUGUUCUCACAAAUUUUUAGCACUUUAAUAGAUGUAAGCGAUAUCAUCUUUAGCAUCAAUAUCCAAUAGGUGAUUCAGGGAUGGAUUGGCCGUUGGCAACUUGCCGGGCACGUAAUGCACGACACGGAGAGCGUCAUAAGUAUAUGGUAAAGGAAGGUUAGAGAAGUGAAUGGAUAGAGAAAGUUGAGGUGUUCACUUUGGCGCCUAACUUAUGAGUAGCAAUUAUAGGGACGCUCAUGCUCUUAAAUGGUACUCCCUCCGUCUCAUAUUAAGUAACUCAAAUUUAUACGAAUAUGGAUAUAUCUAUGCCUAAAACGCGUCUAGAUACAUGUAAUAGAAAAUCACUUGAUAUGGGACGGAGAGAGUACAUGUGUAGUUAGACAAUAGGGCUGCUAGUUUUCAAAGUGUACAUGCUAUGCUCUUGAAAACUAGCAGCCCUAUUGUCAUGACAUGGUCCAAACGGACCAAUUGAUGUCGAAGAAAUCAAUCAGUGGUGAUCAUGAGGGGGAAAAUUCACUCUAACCUAGAGUUUGUUCUCCGCGCCAUUUGGGGACAAGCCGUGUAUGUCAUGACGUCGUGGAUAUGGGAGCGAUAAAUCUACAAAAUGGUGUUUUCGCUGGCUAUGCCCUUUAUUUUAAAAAUAACAAAAUCAUAUUUUAAAGCUUUGAAUUUUUUUCUGAAUUUUCUCUAGCAAGUAUAGAUGUUUUUAGGUACCUAUACAUUUUUGUCGAAAAAUACAUUGAUUUGCGUUCUGUGCAAAAAUCACAAACUGUAAAUUUAUUUGGAAUCUACAAAUUUGUGAUUUUUACACAAAUCACAAAUUAUUGUAUGUUUUUGACGAAAACUUAUAGGUUUAUAGGUAUGCAUAUCUAUGUUUACACUGAAUAAAAUCAGAAUUUUCUAAAACUCAAAAAUAUGAUUGUUCUUUAAAAUAAAUAAAUAAAGGGCUCUAAGGAGCCCGAGCUCCACGAAAAUCCAAUGCGCUUACACAGAUCUCCCACGAACAGGAUAUGGUCUUUUUGCAGCCACCUUCUUGAGCUAUUGCACGGCUAGUUACUACGUAACGAACUACUAGUACAAAUUUCAGCAUUCAUCAGCAUCAACUUGGUCACAAGAAGUCAAGGUCUCAAGGAUAAUGGCACACUAACUAAAUUACAGGUUAGCGCAUGUCAUGUUUCGUCACAACCAGAACAGAGCACAAACCUGAUUAGACCUGAGAUCAGUAGUAAACAAAAUGAAUCCCGAGUAUAAAUCCAUUGAAUGCUGGUACAACACGUAUAAACAAAGACCAGAAACUGCCAACAAGGCCCAAAGCUGAAGAGUGAUAUGCAAGAACCACCAAUCCUGAAGGGUACUACUAGGCAAGAACAACCAGUCCUGAUGAGUGCUACGCUGUUGCAUCAUGCAAAGGACUACCAACUUGUUGCUCGGAAUUCCUUCCGUGUUGAUGUUGACUGAUCUACCAUAACUCAGCUGAACUUGUCAGGUAUGAACCCAAGUAUGUACAUAAUCUAAUUCUAAUACAUAGAGUAGCAACAUUUGUUUUGAUACAAUAUUCACCAUAUAAAAAUCUACAGAAACAUCAUGCUGUAGCAAGUGAACCAUAAGGUAUGUUAGAUCGAUAGCCGGUAUCUCUAUGUAAAGUUACUUCACUACCCACCUAUAUUAACUUGCUUCACCAGUUCUUCGAGUUAGUUCUCUGAACUCGCUCAGGGUGCUGUGGGUUAAAUAGUGAACAAGUUACUCUGUAGAGGAAGAACGGGAGCAAGGCUGUCACAACAAUGACUAGAGUAGACAGCCAGUACAGAGGGCUUGAAGCACAAGCUUCCCAGAAAACAUGAUACGCUGUGGUCGAUAUCAUAGCAGGGAAUGAGCCAUAGAUGAUUAGAAAAGUGUACCAAAUCAGUAUACUGCCCCAGAUGACGAAAUGUUGUAUCCAGGUAAAGUAGCUGAUGUAGAGUGCUAACUGGCAAUUGACAGUCCACACCACACAAGUGUACAUGGUCACUCCAAGGAUGUCAAAUCCAGCAACACGGCCAUCCUGUCGAACAGCCUGAAUGAGAACAGCAUUGAUGGCACCAAAGAAUAUAAUGAUUGAAGAGCACAGUCCGUUUAGCAUCCAACUGAGUAUACGAGACCAGCUGAAGAAUACAUUAUUCACGCCAUCUUGAUGUAACAAAGGGACCUGCAGUACGCAAAAGAGAGCCAACUAAAACUGGUUAGAAAGAGAGGGAAAAUAAUGCAAGCACUGAAAUAACUCCCAAGUGAUAUACAUGAGAACCACAUUAGUCUAGCCAAGUUCAAAGAAAAGCUGUAAAUGGAAACUGUUAGCCAAGUUGUUUAAGCAUGGAGGUCCUUUAAGCACACAUUCAAUUCAACCCUUUGAUCAUGUUGAUGUGCAUAACUCGUUACCUUCAUUUCUCCAUCUAGUUUCUUUAGAGUUCUCUUGAUGAUUGAUUGGAUUAUUGUUUUGUGCAGGAAGAGAACAAAUCGAAAGUAGGAUUGGCUAUGGAUUCGAGCCAGUACCAGAGGACCGGGAAGGACACACCUCUGGUGUACCAGUACUGUUAUGUACGGAGUAUAUGCAUACAUGAACUCUUGCACUCAACUCUAAUACAACUAACUGCCCCCAUACCUAUAACAGUUGUGUGGGCUUAAUGAUGAUUCAAGGACAAUUAGAGGUGUCACUAUGUAACCCUCCUCUCCCAUUGACAAGAUAAAUCUUCUUUUGUGUAGGUGUACGUGAAAUGGAACUUAGUGCACUUAUGUAUUUCCUCAAGUGAAAAAGAGACAAAUCCAAAUUAACCAUGAACUUGUACCGAAGUUCAUAUCUAUGAUUUUCUGUAACUUUUUCAAUAUAUUCUGGGCACUUUCAAAUUUUAGCCAAAAUUUGAUUUCCAAACUUAAUAAGUGGUUUAUUUUCAAACCAUUUAUCCAAAUGAGAUGGAAGUUUCCCAUAAUAUUAAGUAUACCAUUGUGUUUUUUUUUUCAUUUUUUGUGGGCACUUUCAUAUUUCAUCCCAAAAUUUGAAAUUCAAACUUAAUAAGUUGUUUAUUCUCAAACCAUUUGUCCAAAUGAGCUGAAACUUUCCUAGAAUAAUAAGGAUAUCAUUUGUGAUUUUCUUUUAAAAAAAUCUGGGUACUUUGAAAUUUCAGUCCAAAAUUUGAAGUUCAAACUUAAUAAGUUGUUUAUUCUCAACCAUUUGGCCAAAUGAGCUGAAACUUUCCCAAAAUAGUAAGAUAUCAUUUGUGAUUUCCUAUAAUCUUAUCAAAAAAAUUGGACACCUAAAAUUUUGGACUGAAAACGGGUCAGGUUGAGAUCAGGUCCGGUCAGGCUGACGUAGACGAGGUGACUGGUGACACAUCAGCAAAAACUGUUUACAUGGUUUAGGGGGGUACUUUAAACCAAGAGUCAAUGGUUGUAAUCUGAAUUUUGGUACAAGUUCAGGGGGGUAAUGUGGACUUAUCUCCACGAAAAAUGAUGAUGGUGGUGGUUAGUGAACAAUGAUUCUGUAUGAUCACGGGAAAUUAUGUUUGUGGCACUUACUUAGCCGCAUGCAACAGUCUAGUCAUCAUUACAAUUCAUUAUUAAAAUUAUAUAUGUAACUUACAUGUGCCAUAACCAUUAUUAUAAAACAAAUUAUGUACCUCGAGGCAAACACUGGCAGAGACAUCUUUAUUGAAAACACCUAGAGCGAUGACGGGGAGAGAUGUGAAGGCAACAUUGUAGAAAGAUAUAAACCAAUCAUUGUAACCAGGUUGAGCUGAGAACAUGGCAUGAGCCUCAAACCAGAAAAGUGUGAAGCCAAAUGUAAUGUUCUUGAAGAAAAAAUAGCAAAUCUGUUGAUAGGAAAAACGGUAAGAGACUGGUUAGAUAUCAUGCUGCUGAUUAUACCACCUCAUAGCACAGAAUAAUAUCUUCAAGAAUUCAAAUAUAAAUACUUAAAAAUAUUAGUACUUCAUGUUUAAGUCUUCAAAUGUAAACACCCCUAAAUAAGAAACAUCAUGAAAACUGGACAGAACAGCCUCCUGGAAGGAACAGAAGAGAGGCAAAGCAUGAUAUAUGUUCCCAAAAAAAUACCAAUGAAACGCAUCUAUCAGAAAAUACCAUGGUAGUUCACUAAGAAGCAGAAUAAAUAGAAAUGGAAGGACUUUACCAUGGCUGCAAUACGGCGGUAACACCAGUGACCAUGCACAAGGAGUAACCGCUCUAGAAAGCGAAACUGAGCUAUUGCAAAGUCACUUGCCAUCACAGCCUGCAACACAAAAGGCACCAUCAGAUGUUAGCUACUAGGAAGCAGAUCAGUAGGCAUGAUUUACAAACACCGAGUAAAAGGGUUGAAACUUUCAGUUCAGCUGUGAACACUGCUUGCCAAGUGUCAUUUUCACCAGUCAUUGCUUUGUGUAAUUAUAAGUAUAUCAGAACCUCGCAGAUGAGCAAAUUUGACCACAUGAUUCAGAAUUUCAGAUAAUAGAAACUGGGUGUACGUCAUUGUUGUUAUCAAUCUAGCCAGUCAAUCUUUCAUGGAUCCCACUGAAAAAAGCUCUCAUGGAAAUAGAUACAAACACCCUUGAUGUAACACCACAGCAACCAUUCUGAAAUAACCCUUAGAAAUGGCACAUAAAGUGCUCAACACAGGAUACACAUACCUACAAAAAAAUGUACUCCAUACCUAACAUCAAGUGUGGUGAAAUGGUAAUUACUGGCGAAGUCCAGUCAAGCUUCUUUCAAGUACAAAUGAACUCAACGGGUAAUUUUAGAUAGGUCUGGUAUGCAAAGACUUGACAGAUUGUGGUUGCAGUUCUUUUUUUUUGUGUAUUUCAAGAUCAAAACAGGCAGAAGUUGUAACAAGAAAUUGCAGACAAAAUUACGAAAAGGAGGUCUUGUAGAGGACAAAAAGGAGGUUUUCUAGAGGACAACAGACCUGCAUUCCUUCAGCACCACUUAUUCCAACACCAAUAUCAGCCUCUUGUAGCAUACCAACGUCAUUUGCUCCAUCACCAAUAGCUAGUGUGGUUUUCUUUGUUUUUGUUUUAACCAACCUGGUGAUCUGCAAUUGUUCAAAAUGGCCAAAUAGUAUACAGAGAUAGAAAUAUAGAAACACCAACAUUAUCUUGUUACAAAAUGACCAAACAAGAGGAAUAACUAAUGGUUGUUACUCACCAGUGCUUUCUGUUUAGGCGACAUGCGACAACAUAAAACUGAUGCACAAUCAACUGCUAGAUCCAGAAAUGAGUCCUUAAGACUGCCCGUAAGAGCAUAUGUUAGAGCAUUGCCAUCAAUGAUAAGAGCAAAUGGAGUUGAAGUUCCUUUCAAUGAAAUUUGCCUUCGAGCAUCUUGUAAUUUUCUACCGAUAUGUUCAUAUGGAGCCUAUACGAGCCAAUAUGAAACGUAAGAAACAGUAGAACACACAUGAGGUAAACUGGUCCUAUAAAUAAUUUAUGUAUGCGCGGUUCGCUGUUAAGAUAGUACAAACAUCAAUGGUUAUUGAUUUCAUAUAUGUAAACCUGUCUUUUGACUUCACUAGUAUUUUGAGAAUAGCUUAAAUUCUGCAUUCGUUUAUGCAUUGAUAUUUCUACCCAAAGUGCCCUACAUGUGUACAUAGAUGUUAUGUCCCGAUCAUUCGGUUGACACGGCAGCUAAAAAUCCAUCAUGUCCCUAUCCAUGAUUGACGGUGCUAGAUAGCGAGAGCGAUGCGCUCGAGAGCAAUCCCACCUUUCCGUAGAUGUUAAAACAAGAGAGCUGUGAUAUAUGAUGCACUACCCAGUCCUAUCAUCUAUGAUCUCACUUUCAUCCUGACCCUUGGGUUCGAAUGUUGUUGUCUCGCACCCGUGCAUUGCUCCUCUAUGGCAAACUUGUAUUGCCAUGUUGUGGGUGAAACAACUGAUCCUCUAUGACCAUGUGUUAUGAUCCAACAGUGCUCUUUUACUUUAUAUGUGUGCACUUUUAGGGACCAAGCUGCACACGAUACCAAUCCUUUGUCUAUGCAUACAUGCAAAUAGCUGGAGAUAAGGAAGUGUUUUCUUUUUGUAAUUACAAACCAUUCUGCUGCCUUCCUGGUUGCAUCCCUCUGGAGCAUUUGUUCCUGAGUUGUCCAGUGUCACAAAAAAUUCCUCCAUUUCCUUCCUCAAUAAGUUGCAAGAAUAACUACAUAUGAAGCACUGAUACACAUUAAAUUUUAAGGUAAUAAGAUCUCAGUUCUCAGGAAUGUAACAACAUAUCUAAGUUUUAAGGUAACAAGAUCUCAGUUUUCAGGUAUGUAACAAUAUAUGGAGCUAACCCUAUGUUGACAGCUGUCUCCAACUUGUCUCCUGUUAAAAUCCAGAUCUUAAUUCCAGCUUGCGCUAGUUUGUGAAUACACUCUGGAACCUGCAAGAAUUUUGGGUUAGAUGCAUUGAGCAUGUACAGUGAAACAGCUAUAUGGUUUGUGUACAUAAGGAAUGUUUCAGGGGAAAGGUCAUCGAUAUCACAAUAAGUCAAUAGGUGAAGCACCAGAGGCACAACUACGUAAAAGUAAUCAAACAGAAACUCGUGAGAGGUUUUUGAAUAGGACAAUAGAUACUAAUCAAGAAGUACAUGCUAGGAACAAAAACAGAGUACAGAGUUAUAUAUCAAAAUAAAUAAAGGAUCCUUUAGAAGAUAAGAAUUCCCAAAAGAAAAUGAACAUACCCCCUUUUGCAGUCUGUCUUCCACAGCAGUAGCACCUAAGAGAACCAAAUCUUUCUCAAUAUUUUCUGAGGCCUUCUCCACAGCUGCAUCAUGAUCAGUGUGUACAGAAUUCUUGGCGGAUGAGUACUCCUCAUUCCAGGCAGCAUAGUCAUCCUCAGUAAGUUCACGAUAUGCCAGUGCAAGGGUCCGCAGACCUGCCUCAGAAUACACUUCGAUGUGCUGCUUCGUAUUGGCCACACAAGAUUUUUCAUUAUCCUUAGAGAGCCUUUCGAGUAUUACACUGAAGCAAAAAGAUAUGAAAAAAUGUAGAUACUUUAGUAAAACUUUGGGAAGGCAGAAAAAACAAAGUAUGUGAAAUUUAUGCCUUGCAAAGUUGCAGAUUAGCAAUUUCAAGUCUUUUCCACCUAAGAAGAAAAUGUAAUUCACAAAAUCUAUUUCUUAGACCAGGUUGAAACCCACUAUUAUUAUUGAUGUUGGGUCCGUAAUCAGCUUACUAAAAGCACAAUGUAAAGAAAUGCUAAAAGAACCUAAUUUGUGGAGUAGAAAAUAAAAUUUUCCAUCGCAUAUAUGAAUAAACAUAUCCCACCUGUCAGCUCCUUUGCAGAACAGAAAUAGCCGACCCUCUUCUGUCCUCAGAAUAACAGACAUGCGCUUCCGGGCACUGCUAAACUCUAAUAUGUUGAGUAGCUUAUAUGUUCUGAAAUAUAAAUUAGGCAUCAAGCACGAGGGAAAAGGUCAUGACUUGGAAGAAAUUAGCACAAAGAACAGUAGAAAAGAUAAGCACCUAUCCACUUCUUUACCAAAGACAGGCUCAUACUCGUGCACCGAUAUGGUUGUCUGUGUCCUAUGAUAAAAUUCAAAACCAAAUUCUCUGGCAGCUGCAACAAGAGCUCCUUCAUCAGGUGACUCCGCUUCAUAAGUCAUCCCAAUAGAAUCUUUAUCUGACACCGGUAUUGCAGUGUGACAAACAGCUAAUGCACGGAAAAACAUCUCUAUAGCAUCUCUAUGACAUUCUUUAGCCCAUUCUCCGUUCAUCAAACGACCGUCAGUGAAGUUAAAUCCCUUGACUGAUCUUUUAGAUUUAGCUGCAUGCAUUUGGCCAGACACGUCCUCUAUUUCACCGUAAGACAUCUCCACUUCUGUAAGCCUACUGCCAUAAGCAACACCAGCAAUGGAACAUUUGGAGAACUCCAUUGAAUUGCAUGUUAAGGUUCCUGUUUUGUCAGAGAGUAUGGUAUGAACCUGACCAAGUUCCUCAUUCAAAUUUGAUGUGCGAGCCCUUGCUGGUUUAUCAGACUCCUCGCAAUACAUAUUCUGGUCUUGGUUUAUGAAAGUGCUCUGUAAGACUUUAACCAUUUCAAUUGAUAUAUACAAUGAAAUGGGCACCAAGCAUACAUACAACAUAAGACUUGUCAGAAAAUGGCAAAAGGCUGCAAAUGAUGCUCUGUUUGGAUCAAAGAAUAUACUGGACUGAUCUGGCCUUAGGUACCAUGCAUAGCUUCCUACAUUUAAUUCGGCCUUCGUCUUGAUCCCAAAGAAAAUUGACCCAAAAGAUGCAAUAGUGAAGAGAACUGCAAAGAGAAGAUAAACUAUUUUGUCCAUUCUCCGUUCAACAGAACUCCUCUUUGAUGGUGGCUCCGUUGCAUUCUGCAUCACCUUUGUUUCGUGCCCUGUGAAUAUUACAGUGCCAUAUAUGAAGUUUGUAUUCCGAAGCUUUGAGUCCCUUAGCAAGAUCUGUUGUGGAGACAGAGGAUAUUGUUGCUCCCUAUAGUACAACGUCCCUAGGAAGGAGUAUAAUUUCUCGUUUGGAUCCUCACAUUGUAUAAAAGCCUUGAAACUAUGGAAAGAAUGCUCCUCACUCAAGCCAACGGUCACGUCCAACGAUUGUUUUCGCUUCAAGUUUGUCUCUCCAUCAAGAUUCAUCGUUUCAACAUAACAUGUUCCAUCCUCAUGGCACGAAGAGAGCAAAAGAAGGUCCGCAGGGAAGAACUCAUCUUUUUUCACUUUAACUAUAUCACCAACUCGAAGCUUCUUCCAUUCUGUUUCAUGAAAAGAUUGGGUCCCAUCAUAAACCUCAACCUUCCUAUUGUUCACUUCUAUGUCCUGAACAAAACCAAAAACUAGCCUUUUUUAGAGAAAUAAGUCAAAAACUAGCUUUAGUAAAAAAAACACUAUGAUCGACAUUUAUAGUUGAAGGAGUGGUAACAUUUUAUGUUGCAAGGCAAGGAAUUAUAAAAUUAUACUUCAGCAUUAUAUAUCAGUGGAAGUUGAUAUAGUGCAGAAGAACAAAACACAUGCAGCUAGCCUAGUAUUACUGUGUGGUACAGUCCCACAUGAUAACUAAGACUCUAAAAUUAAUAGAACAUUUCAUCAAUCCCUGCAAAAUAAAACAAUGACUGAGUUACCUAACAAAGCCACUGUUUUGCAGGAAGCUGUGCUAAAAACAAUCUCCUGCUUGGUUUUCAAAACAUAAUUAGCUCAAAAACUAAGAAACCACCAGUUCAACUUCUGGUAGGGUUCUGACUGACCCUUCCGUCAGGGUGAACAUUUAUCAUAGCCAUAUAAAAUGUAUGUGUUGAAGGUUUGACACAAACCAUCAUGGCCAUCCAAUCUGAUCUAGCUGCUUGAGUAAUUAAGAUUAGUAUCUAAAACUUAUGUCUUCAAUCCACAUUUAAUCCCUUAAUAACAUACUAACAUACUACUUACCAUUUCAACCUCUCUUUUCAAAUUAACAGGAAACACACAAUCUAUUUCCCAUUCCUUCGUUGUAACAAUAUGGUCAUAGACUUUAUUUGCCUCUCUGUACAAUGUACUAUUAAAAAAUAAUACCGUGGUUGUCAUAUCUUUCUUUAAUAUUGUUAUAAAACUGUGUUCGGACGUGAGUUCCAAAGCUGGCAGCAUUAUAUUUUGGGCAUAGGCGGAGUGUGCGGAGAACAAGGUGGACAGCCUUGGCUUGGACCACCCUUAAGCUUGGAAUUUUCUUGACUAAUAGCAUUACGUGAAGAUAUUUUGCUAAUUAGAGCCUAUUUCAUCUAGUAAUCAGACCACACGCUUUGCAGCAAAAAAAAAUGAACCCCAAAAUAUUUUCGGACGAACAAAUCUGCAAAAUAUAACUCAAAACACCAGGAAUCAAUACGAUUUUAUACGAAACACCAGGAAUCAAUACCGAUUUUAUACGAACAGGCAGGAGAAGCCACUUGAGAUUUUCGAAUCAGGAGUGAGAACAACCAAGUGAACCCACCGAGAUCAGAAAGGAACAAGUGAGCUGUGAAGAAUCAUAUACUGUCCCCCCCCCCCCCCCCCCCCCCAUGUUUUUUCACAAGCCAAACAAUGGGGAUGAGCAAGCUCCAGUGACUCAAGUGGCAGAGCAAGCGCACGCACCUGCUGCUUCCGGCGCCAGUCCUCGACGGCCUCCUUGGCCAUGGCGGCGGAGACGACGACGAAGAGCGGGAGCAGGACGGAGACGGCGCGGUAGGGCGCGAGCGGGCUGAAGGAGACGCAGGCGACGACGAGGAAGAAGCAGUUGGCGACGCGGCGGAACUGCUCGAAGAGCGACUUGGGCAGGAAGCUGGCGGCCGUGUAUUUGGUGGUGGAUAUCGCGUUCCCCGGGUAGGCGCCAUCUCCCGAGGCGGAGGCGGAGGAGGGGGCGUUGCAUCGGACGGCGCGGGAGAACCCCGGGGCCGGCGCGGGCGGCCCGGUGGCGAGGGCGGCGGGGGAGGAUGUGGAAGGCGUGGGGGUGACGACGGCGAGCUCGACGAGGGGCCGCUCGUCGGUGUCGGUGGCGGAGGCGCGCAUGGUCGGCGUGAGGAGGAGGAGGAUCUGGGUGGGGCGCGGUUAGGGGCGGGUGGGUGUACGAGUGGGGGUAAACGUCCCGGAGACGGCGUCGUCGGGGUGGGGCCUGGCUGUUCGUGCCCUGCCAUGUGGCGAGUUCUGCGACCUUUUUCUUUUUCAGUUUAUGCUUUCUUCUUUUUUAUAUCACCUUUCCCACGCCGCGCAUUUCCUUUUUUUUUUUCCUUCGUGCUGUCUCGGACGCGCGACCCACGCUGCCAAGGAAAAAAAGUGUUUUCGCCUUUUCGGUGUAAAAAGAGUAAAAUAACGAACCGUUUUUUCAUUAUCGGACCAGGAAGAGAGUCCAGUGUGGGCCUGUCUACCAGAUCGGGCUGGCGGAACUGUUCGGAAAAUGGACGGGAAUAGCGCAUUAGUCUCGGAGCGCGACUGCAUGCAUGCAUCGAUCCAUGCUGCGUCAGCUGCUUUUUCCACGUCAGCUGCCAUGUCAGAUCUGUCCCCAUAUCAGCUCAGCGCCUUUUCUCCUGAACCAUGCACAGAGCAGCGGGACGCGACAGCACGAGCAUGCAUCGCUCGUCUUCGCAUGCUCAAAAGUGACUUUAAAAGUUCUAGAAAAAUCUUAAAAUAUUUGUGAUCGUUGUCCUUAAAACAAAUCAAGCUUAUCCAUAUAAACUAAAGUAGAACUAUAGGCAGAGUUGUUGCUAAACUAAACAAUAGUGUCAUUAUGCUCUUUAGCAAAACUACUAGGGAUAGAACUAGUUGCCAUACAAAUCUUAUCUCCUUGUCGCAGAAAAUAUCAUAUGUCGGGUCAUGCAUGUAGUUCACAUGUUGAACCUUCGACAUGAUAUUUCUUAGUAACAAGACAAGACUAUUGUAAGAGGCCAGAUAAGAAUGGACGGGUUUUUUUGUCGAAACAUAUCAAUAUGGGAUCUAGAUUUGACGAGCUUGUCGUAAGAAUCCAACAGUAAAAUCAUUCACAAUUUUAAUGCUUGAUUCAGAAAUAUUGUAGUUCACAAUUAGUUUGAAUUGAUUUAAAUUAAUGGAUGGAUGACAAGAAUGCGAGCGUGUUUUUUGCCACAAGUCUUUUUUAUGUACGGGAUAUUGUCCAUCGUGUAGCAGGUCGAACAUGACAUGGGUGAUACAUGAAUCCGGUAUUCAUAUUGUAAUGACAUAAUUGAUAUGGUAACGAGAUAUGAAUGAAGUAUUGAUGAUAUUAUGUUGAUAUUGAUUACAAUGAAUUUUAAUUGGUAUAGUAAUAAGUUGGCGAUGUGUUAACAAAUUUUUAGUGAUAAUCAAUGAAAUAAUGAUAUGUUAAUGAAAUAAUAUUUCAACCAAUAAUACUCGAUUGAUACUGAAAUGAAAUUUGAUUGAUGUUGGAUUAUUUUUUGCUCGGGUAGGUUCUACAAGAGCCGAUAGAAAACCAAGAUUUGUAACUGAACAAAUUUAGUAGUUUCUGCAGCGACUUCAGGGUAAACAUGCCAUUUCAGUCAUCAUUUUGAUUUUCGUCUCUGCAAUGCGCAUCUCUUUAAAAGCUUUUGACAAAGAUUCUGCGGGAAUGUGCAAUGUCCCGUUCCAAAAAAAAGGGGGUGCGCCAAACAGGACAACGGACUUGUUAUACAGAGUAUUUGAUAUUGUCAGCACGAUAAGUAAACUUAUUCAACUUCUCCAACAAAACAGGAUGAGCUGUCCAUGUGAUAAUUUUUCCCACAUGUUUUAUCAAGCUGAAGUGCUAAUAUUAUAUUGGAGUAAGUACGAACUUCAUAUCAUAAUAAUGCAGCUGAUAGUACCUACUGUACUUGACAUGACAAGGCUCUUACAAAACGCCAUUACUUCUUGCUCUUCUUCCUCGAUCAGCAAAAACAAACCAAGCCAUCAUCCACAUGGAGCUAGGCAUCCUCUUCGUCUCCCUCAUCACACUGGUGAUCCUUGUGUCCUUACUCAGCCGCAAAUCUCCAACAGGCCGCUCCGAGAAGAAGAAGCGGCGGCCUCCAGGCCCAUGGCGUCUCCCCUUGAUCGGGAACCUCCUCCACCUCCUGACCUCGCAGCCGCAGGCCGCGCUACGGGACCUGGCCAGGAAGCACGGGCCGGUGAUGUCCCUGCGGCUGGGCCAGGUGGACGCCGUCGUGGUCUCCUCGCCGGCCGCGGCCCAGGAGGUGCUCCGGGACAAGGACCUCGCCUUCGCGUCCCGGCCCAGCCUGCUUGCCGCGGACAUCAUCCUCUACGGGAACAUGGACAUCGCCUUCGCCCCCUACGGCGCCUACUGGCGGACGCUGCGCAAGCUCUGCAUGGUCGAGCUCCUCAGCGCGCACAAGGUGCGGCAGCUCGCCCCUGUCCGGGACUGCGAGACCCUUUCGCUUGUUCGGAAGGUCGGCGGCCAUGGCGGCGGCGGCGGCGGAGAGCCGGUCAAUCUCGGACGGCUGCUCUCGUCGUGCUCGAUCGCGAUUACGGGGAAGGCGACCUUUGGGGAGCUGUUUGGCGGCGAGCUCCAGGAGCGGUACAUGGCGGUCAUCGAUGUCGCCACGAGGUACGGCGGGGGCUUCUCUGCCGGGGACCUGUUUCCUUCUCUGCGGUUCGUGGACGUCGCCACGGGGCUGACGCGCCGGCUGUGGCGAGCGCGCCGCCAGCUCGAUGCCAUAUUUGACAAGGUCAUCGCUGACUGCAAGGCACAGCGGGAGGAGAAGAAGAAGAUGAAGAAGACGGCCAUGGCGAAUACAGGGGACGAAGACCUUCUGAGUAUCUUGCUCAGGAACAAGGACGAAGCGACGCUCGAGACCUCCAUCAGCACGACAAGCAUCAAAGCAAUCUUAUUUGUAAGUUCUCUUUGUGCUCUCAAAUUAAACCAUGUCCUUAAUUGUUAAAUUUCUUUCGCUAAUUAAUUCUUGUUCACCGGUUAAUUAAUUAGGACAUGCUCACCGGAGGGACGGAGACGACCUCGACAGCGGCAGAGUGGAUCAUGUCGGAGCUCAUAAGAAACCCCGAGGCCAUGGCCAAAGCCCAGGCCGAGGUCCGGCAAGCACUGGACGGCACGAAGCCGCGAGACCACGAGGGCCACAUAGAAAAGCUCCGCUACACAAGGAUGGUGAUCAAGGAGGGCCUGAGGCUGCAUCCAGUGCUGCCGCUCCUCCUGCCGCGUCUCUGCCGGGAGACCUGCGAGGUCGGCGGCUACGAGGUCGCCAAGGGGACCAAGGUCAUCGUCAACGCGUGGGCCAUGGCGCGGAGCCCCGAGCACUGGCACGACGCGGAGGAGUUCAGGCCGGAGAGGUUCUGCUUCGACGACGACGACAAUGGCGGCACGACGGCGGAUUACAAAGGGUCGUUGCGGUUUGAGUACCUCCCGUUCGGGAGCGGGAGGCGGAUGUGUCCUGGGGAUACCUUCGGGCUCGCGGUGCUGGAGCUCACGGUGGCACGGCUUCUUUACUACUUUGACUGGAGUCUUCCAGGCGGAAUGCGGCCGGAUGAGCUCGACAUGGACAUGAUUGUUGGUUCCACGGCCAGGAGAAGGAAUCAUCUCUGCCUCGCAGCGUCCCAGUGCAGGGAGAUUCCCCUGGAAAUUUGAAGCUGCGCAGCUUAUGGAUGUAUGCUUCAUGUUCAAACUUACUUCAAUACUGUUCAACAAAUAAAUUUUAUUGGAAGAACGGCAUAUCAAGGUGCUCAUGCAAGGCAAGGAAAUGUACUCCUGAAUAAGAGUGAUGCUAUAUUUUUGAUUAAAUCUAAUCUAAUAUCUAAUUAAAGUAGCAGAAAUUCUACGGUCUAGAUUUUACAAAAGUUAUCAUACGGUCUAGAUUUAAUCAUAGGGUCUAUCAACCAAUCACAGUAGCUGCUACGGAAUCAAAUCAAUCUCGCUCUAAUCACGGUAUUUGCUAAGGAAACAAAAUCAAACUCGCUAUAGAAUUCCAAUCUGACUGCUGUCAAAACAAAUCACGGGAUAUCUGAACGAGGGCAAUCAAGGCCAAUCCAAUUGGAAAUCAAUUUGGUAAGCGCAAUAGUAAACUAAAAGAUGCAGUCGGUAAGGGCAGGACCAAUUGAAAAUCAAUUCGGCAAGGACAAUACGUACAGCCAAAUACAAGCAGAUCCAAUAAAUAAGAUCAGUAUGAAAUUUAAUCCGAGCCAGACCAGGAAAGAGCAGCACGACCGAAAAUAAAAAAAGUCAGACUAACAAAUACUCCACCGUACGACCCAAAACUUGAAGAGCAACUCGCCGGAUUCAAUCCACGCUAAAUUCCGAACACCUCGCCGGAAUUCUCGACGGAAUUCAAUCCACAGCGUCGGGAUUCUUAGCGGCUUGCUGGCGGCAGCAAGGGGACGCGGGAGCCUGGAGGGUGCUGCUGGUCGGUGGCGAGGGGAGAACCGAGGAGACGCGCCGUGGCAGGUAGAGAGGCGGGAGAGGCCCGGCAGCGGCCAAAGCGUGGGCACCGGCGGCACACGGUGGCGUCCGAAUCGUGAUGCCUGUCAGCCAGCAGCGAAGGGAAUUGGGAGGCGGCAACAAAGCGUAGGAAGGCGGACGGCGAGCGGCGGAGAAAGCGCUGGCACGCGGCCGGCGCACGAUGCUGCUCGAAUCGCAAUGGCGGACGUGGAGGCUGGCCCUGCAACGUCAGUGAUUAGGAGGAGAAUCACCAGGAGAUUAACAGGUGAUCGAAUCCAUGAAAAAUAAAUAAAUUUAAAUACAUCAAAGUGAGCAAAUUUAUGCAUAACUGACGUAUUUAAAUCUCUAUACCAAUUAAAAAAAUCAAUUAUGUACAUCAAAAUUGCAAGUGAUGCAAACUAUAAGUUUGAAACCAGCAGAAAAGACAGGCCAUCAACAACGAGUACGUUUGAUUUAAGCCCCAACUUGCCAUGUCAAAAUUUGUUUGACGUUUUAUUUGACUAUGUGUUAGCCAAUGUUGAAAAAGAAAAUUCGGACCUAACCCAAAAAAUUGGUAAGAUGCAUUUUAGACACCAUUCAAGGCUGAUGUGGAGGUGUUCGAUACAUGGUUUCAUGCUGCCAGCAAAUAGGAAUUCAAUAACUCAAAGGGGGCGCAGUUUUUUAAAUUAAACUACAUGGCUUACGGUAUAGUAAAGGCUAUGGCUGCGUUCUUUUCGGCUUCUAGGACGGCUUCUCCUAGAAGCUGCCCUCACCUAGCUUUCUAAAGAAACCGCAUCUCAGAUUUAGCUAGGUUUCCAAAGUAGUUUAGGCUAAACUAAUUUGGUAGUCUAAUCAAAUUUAGGUGGCGGUUUCUCCAGAAAGCUGGGGGAAGGCAGCUUCUUGGAGAAGCCGGUCCAGGAAGGCGAAAAGAACUGGCCCUAUGUGUCACAUAGAAAGGCAUGGCUACCAACAACAAUCGGCCUCCUUAGAUGCGUAGUCACCGAACACAUUCCUGCACCAACAAUCGUCGGUCGGAAGCACCACACUCGCAUUAAAAUUUUAAAAAGAAAAAGUUCAUCUAAAUAAAAAAGUACCCAAUCAAAUUUAAAUGUGACAAAAGCAUGCAUAUAUUAUCUGUAGAAUCACAACACUUCUUUUUAUUGCACACGAUGUUAAUAAAAUGAAACUCUCUUCCAAAACGUGUAAUGACUACGUGAUCUACAAUGUAUCAUGUUAUGAAUUUAAACUCAUCUAAGCAUUCAUAACUAUAUAUUUUGAUAGGUAAAACAUUAACAAAUAAAAUAUUUUAAAAAAUAUUGAAGAAUUCCAAAUACAAUACAUCUAAAUUAUAAAAGGCACACAAAAAACCAUCUCACUGUGUUCCAAAGAAACACACACAUCAUUAUACAAGUCUAGCCGCGCAAUCUGCGUGGGCCAACCCGCUAGUUUGUUGUAUUUGAUAUUAUCACGCGGCCCAUGGAAGAAAAGGUCGGUUGAAUUAAAGGGCUUCAUUGGCUACAUAUAUAUAAGUCUAAAUUGCGCAACAAGGUUGCUAAUGAUUGGGUUCAACGACUUGAUAUGUUAAAUGAACGAAAAAAAAUUAAACAAGUAGAUGAUAAACUUAUUGUUAAGCAAUUUCAAGCCAUGAGGUUUAGGAGAUGACAUUUGCCUAGGCCUAAUUAAGUAAUUUUAGCACAUCUGGGCAUGUCUGUCAUUGGUAUGUUUUAUUUUCUCCGUUCCAAUGUGCUGAUAUUUGCGAUGGAAAACGGACUAGUGUCUUAAUUUUUGCUAUUACAUCUUGCAUUUGUUUAUGUACAACUAUUGUUGUGAUCUAAUUGAGAUUGUUGUGGAUUUGUCUUUGUCAACAUGAGCGCUCUUCAAUUAACAUUUGUGUGACAUGUAGCUAAUUAAAUAUCCGUUACUUCAGUCUGUAUACUAUAAUUAUGUUCUUGAGCUUGUGGUGUGCCCAUGUUUUGACAAAGUGCUAGCUCCACCUCUGACUGGGAAAAUGUGGAUACCUCAAUAUGCAUUGCCACGUCCAUACCUUUUGUUUUAUUAAGGAAAAGAGGUUUUAUUACUUUCUCAGUCCAACAAAAGAUGUGUCAAAUUUGUCAAAAUUUAUAUGUUCUAGAGUUUAGACAUGACUUAGUGUAUAGAUGCAUUCAAAUUUGAUCAAAGUUAAGACAUUCUUUGUUGGACGGAGGGACGUUGACGACUAGGCAGAGUACUUCCAAUUCCAAUUCCAACCACUACACCGAGAAGAUUGACGACUGUCAACUUUCUUAUUACACCAUUCAAGCUACUACAGAAGUAAAACAAAACCGACUACACGAGUCGGCAUAGAAACAUCAACCCGCAUAAUACAAACAUGAAUGGCACGCGAAAGAACACUAUGAUGAUGGACCUUAAGUCGCGACAAUCCAUGAUUGAUCUAUUCCUAUGUAGUACCCGACUGUAUAUAUGGAAUAGCUCUUAGAUGCAGCUCCAACUUUUUCCUUACCCCCAUCCCGAAAGUCUCUGACAUGUCCAACAAGUCUGGGUUUGAUCCAUCAGCAAGCACCCAGUCAAAGUGGUAGAGGAGGUUUGCCAACGCAAUCUCCACGGCCGAUGUGCCAAACAAAAUCGCGGGGCAUUGUCGACGUCCUGCUCCGAAUGGUGUGAACUCAAAAUGUGUCCCUUUAUAAUCGGUGUUGCUAUUCUCAAACCUUUCGGGGUUAAAAGCUUCUGGAUUGUCCCAGUAUCUUGGAUCCCGAGAAAUUGCGAAGGCAUUAAUAUGAACCUUGGUGCCUUUAGGAACGUGAUAACCCAUGAUCUCGCAAUCCUCUCUGGACUCACGUGGGACAAGCAUAGGGUUGGGAGGAUGCAACCUGAGAACCUCCUUGAUAACCAUUUGCAGGUAGCUGAGUCCACCAAGGUCAGUGUUAGUGAUGACACCUCGUGAUGCGCCAAGCACAUUUCGGAGCUCUAGUUGUGCCUUCGCCAUUGCCUCGGGUUUCUUCAAGAGCUCCGAUAUAGCCCACUCUACGGUGGAUCCCAAUGUUGUAGUGGCACCUCCAAAUAUGUCCUGCAUGCAGGACCAAAUGUUUGUUAUGUAAGGUUUACUAAGUCUAACAAAAUUAGAUCGACAAAACAAUUAAAUAAGAAACUAUUCUUUUGAGAGAAACAUAUUAUUAGGUAGGGAAGAAAAACAUAUGUAUGGUUCUUUAUAGUUGGGCCAUGUGUCCAAUAGUCUCUCUUUUUUUUCCUUAAAAACGGGUCCUAUAAUGGAAGGUGGAAUAGUAGUAGUACGAUGCAGAGUGCAAGGUUCUAAAAUAAGGGAAUACUGUACUCACAAACAUGAUGGCGCCUAUAAUUUCCGUGGUCAGAGGGAAAGCGAGUGAAUCCUCCUCCUGCAGCCUGAGCAGCACGCCGAGCAGAUCCUCCUGAUCCCCGUUAGCAGCCAGCGCCGCCGCCUCACGACGGCUCUCCACGAUGCUGGCGAUGAUGCGCUGGAUGCGGCCGUAGCUCCUGAGCAGGCGGCGCUCGACAGUGCUCAGCCGCCUGACCAGCCUCGACGACGGGAAGAAGUCGAGCGGGAAGAACCCGGCCACGAGCUCGCUGACCCGGUCGUAGGCCAGGACGAACUCGGCCUUCCGGUCCGCGCACUUGCCGCCGAACAUCGCCAUGGCCACGAUGUCGUUCGCCAGCGCCGACGCCUUCCGGCUCAGGUUCACGGCCGAGCUACCAUUGGAGACGGAGACGUAGCGGAGGAGGCGGCCCACCUCGUCAGCUCUUAUGGACUCGACGCGCCUCACCUGCUUGGCGCUAAGCAGCUCCGUGACGCAGAUCUUCUUCAUCUGGCGCCAGCGGUCGCCGUAGGGGGCGAAGCCGAUCCCUUGGCCGCGGCAGCCCACGAUGUCGAUGGCGACGCUGCUGGGCCGGGAGGCGAAGGCCAGGUCGUGCGUCUUCAUCACGAGCUCGGCUGCCUCGGCGCUGGAGACCACCAGGGUGGGGACUUCGCCGAGACGGAGGAACAUCAGGGGCCCGUGGCGGCGGGAGAGGUCCCUCAUCGUGCGGUGUGGGAGGCCCCGCAGGACGUGGUGGAGGCUGCCGAGGAAGGGGAGCGUCCAUGGCCCCGGAGGCAGGGGCGGAAGAUGCUGCUGCUUCUUGGAUUUGGUAAAUUUGUUGUUGUUGUUGCAUGCGAGUUUAAGAAGCAAAAGGUAGAGUAGCGUUGCUAGGGUGAUGGAAACCCACAUGCUUAACACCUCCAUGGUUUUCAGCUGUUGGCAUGUACUAGAAGGUUAAUUAACUUCUUUGUGGGCUUUGAGUUUGAAUUAACGAUAGAAAGCAUACUUAUAGGGUAUCAAGAGGAGCCAUGAUCACCUCUCUUGAAAGGAAAAGGAGCCGUGCAUGGCCACCUGCCCACCUUGCACGUAUUAUAAGUUAUCUUAUUUGCAUGCGGUUGUUCUAGCAUGUCUGCAUGCAGCAGCAGCAGCAUUCGGAGCUGUACACGUGAAGAGUGUGAGAGGUUCAGUUUUUAGCCGGUUUGCAUGGAGUCCGGUUUGAGGGUCCUAUGUACGAUGACAUUUGCCAUCGGUUCACCAGUCUACUGCAGAACGGCCGGUGCUAUUGUGCUUGUGUCCAAAGCGGCCAUUCUAGUACCGGACUAGCUAGAUGCUGGGUUUAGUUGGAAAUUGACUGUGGAGAAGACAACAUAUGAGAUGGAGUUUCUCCAACCAGAUAGGUAUUUUGGGUCGAGUUAAGCUUCAGAUCUUAGUUGGUUGUGGGCUCUUGUGGACCUGGACUGGUAAAGGCGCUAGCUCAUGUGGUAGUUAGGCCAAACCCUUGUGCGCUCGAGCACUAGCCACCCAUGGCCGUCACAUUGAGAAGAGGCUCACUUCUUAAUCCACCCACACAUGAUGAUGAAUGAUAUAUUUUAUUAGUAUAUGGUACUUUCCCACAACCAAAUUUGUCGCAACUUGACUAGAUAAGCAUGUAUCUAAAGCGUUUCAAUGUGUUGAUACGCAUGGAAAAAAGUCAUACUAUAAUCAUACUAUAAUCAUUUUGUUAGGAUUGCUAACUUUCAUUGUUCAUGAAGACAAGAUAUAUAUGUUAGCCUGUACUUUGACUAGAUAUGCAUGUAUCUAAAGCAUUUCAAUUACAUGUAUCUAUACAUCUUUUAGGUAUAAAUACAUCUAUAUUUGUGCAAAUUUGAGUCACUUAAUAUGAAACGGAUGGAGUAUAUUGGUAGUAUCUCGCAUGUUUAGCCUGCAUUAUCUGCUUUAUACAUGCCAUGAUUUUGAAUUGAAUUUAUAUUCGAUCAGUAUGCAUGAUUUGUUCCUCCCUCUUCAGGUUGGUGCAGUGGGAAAAAUCAUAUUUUUUAAAGUUCAGGACUUUAGUGAGUUAGAAUUAUUGUUCCGGCAGCGCCGCGUGCCAAUUAGCACCAUUGUCCGCGAAUUGGGGCAGUUUGCUUUUGUGUGCGUGGGCAAGUCCUGAUUUGUGUUGUGCUGCGUGAUUCUUGCGUGAAUAUAAAACGCAUACGGUAGCAAGCCUGUCUCGGUUCAAAUAAUUAGAACCGUAUCUUGUCGGCGAUUUGGAGCAGUUGGCUUCACUCACUGAUGGGUCCCGAAAAUAAAAGAGUUUGCUACCGUGUCCAUUAUGUAUUUCUUUGCUACCGGCCGCUAAACAUACAAGGCAGUGGGCACCACAAAAUUUGAGAGACGGGAAUUGAAACACACGAGAUGUUGAGAUAUGUGUCGAAUACGUGUACGAGUAGUGUUACAGUUGGACUUGGAUUAGCGGAGGGUUAGGUGUUGGAGUCGAACACGUGUAACCCAGACCUAAUAUAUAAAGGCACCAUGGGUAGCCCAAAGAAACUAUGAGAACAUAAUAGCAGUAGGCUCGCAGGUGGAGCCGGCGGCUUUUGCCGGCGUCCGGGGUGGCUGAUGUUGCGGUAUUAUGGAGGGAGGAGCGCCCGUAGUCAUGCCCCGGGAUGUAGGUUUCGGCCGAACCUCGUUAACAAAUAUCGUGCCUCGGUGUCAUCCUUAAUUGUGCAUCCGUCGGAUUUCGUAACAAGUGAUAUCAGAGCGAGCUGGAGGGGAUGCGGGAGAUCUCGUGAGAGGUGCGAGGAUCAUGCUCGAUGGGCGCCGCAGAACGUCCAAUGCGGUGCAAGGUGGAGCAUGACGGCGAUCGGAAUUCCGAUCGGUGGAGUCGAACACUUCAGGUAUGUGGCCUGAACCGUUCGAUGGGCUGCAGUUGGCAAGGAUCGACCAGGCGUGAUGAUCGGGCCGACACAGUGCCCGGGAAGACGUCGCGGAUCGGACGACGGCUUCGGCUCGCGAUUAGAUCGGCGACCAGACGCAGGGGUGACCGAAUAGAUCGGGGCGGGAUGCAUCGCGGUAUAGCGGUGGAUCGGGUGUAGCACAGGGCGGCAUGGUGGCACGGUGGACGAGUUGUGUCGACGAUGCAGGUGGCCAGGGUGCAACACAGGUUUUGUGCAUAGAAUUUGCACAAGGGUGCGACUUUUACAAGUGUCAGUGGCAGCGUGUUCAUGCGACAAGUGACAUACGCCGGAAUUAACUCGUCGGGAGAUGCUGCAGCGGUUGGAUUGGAAGUCCGAGUCAAAAAGUCCAAGGCAUGUUCGUGCCAGGCGAUAAAACGGACAGCAGGCGAGCGUGGCGCAAUGGCAUGCAGAAAGGAGCAUUACUAGUCAGUGUGCAACCAGAAAAGAAGGAUUCGUGCACGUAUGUGCCAUGGGCCAUGGCUAGUUGGGCACGGUUUCCAACGGAAAAAGGAAAAGGAUUGCAUGCAGGCUGAAGGCUCACGUGGGAGUUCUUCUCGGAUUCAAAACAGAUCAAAGAAAGAAAAAAGAGCAGCUUUAGGCAGGCGGUGAAAGGCAAGCGCUAGCUUACAGGGCUGUUUCUAGCGGCAGGGGGGGCGAAGGUCGGAUUCAGGCGGCGCGGGGCGCGUGUGCAGGCGCCGGGGAGUCUGACGGGUUCCUGGUUUCCGCGUGCAGAUACCGAAUAGGCUUCGGCGGGCAGGCCGUGUAGGACACGAAUCAACAAGCAAGGGACGGGAUCACUCAGAAAAGCUAAUCCACGGCUAACAAACGCAGCUUUCAGCGAGGCGAAGGCAAGGGUACAGACCACGGAGAGCUAGCGGCAGGUUAGAGACAGAGUUCAAGUUCAUAUGUUGCACAGAUCAUAUUUUUUUCAAGCGCGGUGUUUCGCGGGAAGAAAAAAAGGACUGCGUACGGAGAUGAAGGGAUCUCAGGAGUUUCUCAAGUGAGCAGGCUAGUGAUGGUUUGUCGGAGCUUUGACAUGAUGUUGGGUGCAUGCAGUGUGGCUUCAGGUGACGAGAGACGGUGCGCGUAUAAGGCUAGGAGUAGCCUGGAGCGUGUCGUGAGGAUCAUGUAUCUACAAAGCGUCAAGCAAUACACUUGGUGUUGAGAUGACACGACGCAAGGUGGAGCACGGUUGCAGUCGGACAAGUUCGGCUGGGGUCAGACGACAGUCUGGCGGAUCGAUGGGGAUGUCGGUCGGAACAGAAGACGGUGAAGAUCGGCGACAACGACGUAGGAGCGCGAGUGCUGAUGGUGUCCGAAUUCUGUGGCGUGGCAACACGUGGCUCAGUGGGGCCUGAGAUGGUGUGGGUAUGCUACCCAGUAGAUCUUGGCCAAGAUUGCGGAUGCUCGACGCGGUGAUGCGGCGAGGUGUGCGAUAAGCACGGGACACGACAACAAACCAUGGCAUAUGUGGUCAGACAGUGGUUUGACAUGUGUGUAGGGGUGCUGAAGCGGUGUUGGUGAGUACUAGGUUCAAGUUGGUGACUGGGUCUAUCAGGAAGGUCUGAAGUGAUGGACAAGAGUCGGCCAUGGGAAAUCUGAGAAAGUGUUUUUGGAAAGUCUAAAUUGUCAAAGGCUUAGACAGUACAUGACGGUAUAUUCUGUGAUGUUCGGUGCACAUGGCAAAGUGCAAGUGACGGGAUGCAGAAGGGGGCGGAGUGCUAUAGCUGUGGGACAUGUAGAAGACUAUCCGAAAAAGGAUGAGAAAACUGUGAAUUUGACUCGAGGUGACUCAAGGGCGACGACGACAUUCCUUCAAGUUUCAUGCGGGAAGUCAACCAUAGCGAGGAUAAUGAGUUUAGGCAACUCUUAUGUGGCACCUAACAUGCGAGUUGUUCAUUUUCACAUAGAUCAAGGAAGAGGGAACCAGAGUGACGAUACAUCGGUGUUGUCGGAUAUGGUGACCUUAUGAUCGGUGUGUGAUGGCGUUGAAACAGAUACUCCGGGAAGUUGGGAACACACGACAAGAGUGUGGAAGAACUUAUUUUUCGCGGGAGCAUUGACUGUUAAUGAAUAAAAAGAAUUAAUGAAUAAAAAGAAGGAACUACGGUUGCAGGUGAAGUCAUGUGAUGUCAAGAAAGUAGCAGUGAAGCUCAUGUUUAAGUCCAAGGUACACGGAGGUUCGUGCAUGACGGCUUCAAGGUGGUGAGGAACAUAUUCGUCAAGGUGGAGUUUGUUGAGAUAUGUGUCGAAUAUGUGUACGAGUAGAGUUACAAUUGGACUUGGAUUAGCAGAGUGUUAGGUGUUGGAGUCGAACACGUGUAAGCCAGGCCUAAUAUAUAAAGGCAUCGUGGGGUAGCCCAAAGGAACUAUGACACCAUAAUAGCAAUAGGCUCGCAGGUGGAGCAGGCGGCUUGUGCCGGCGCCCAGGGUGGCCGGUGUUGCGGUAUUAUGGGGGGAGGAACGCCCGUAGUGAUGCCCCGGGGAUGUAGGCUUCGACCGAAAUUCAUUAACAAAUAUCGUGUCUCGGUGUCAUGUUUAAUCGUGCAUCCGCCGGAUUUCGUAACAAGAGAAACAUGAAAGAUGGCGGUGCGAAAAUCAGAACAUAGAAAAAUGCAAAUUUAGAGGAAAUGAAGCAAAAGGAGUUUCAAAAUAAUUGCUGUGAAUUCCGUCGUACAAAGAUUAGAAUUCUUUAGUUGGCUUAUUUUCUACUUGCAGCUGUGCAGUUCCAAACCUAUUUGAUCACCAUGGCAUAUAAAAAAAACUACUCUUAAGGGCAAAGAUGAACAGUCCCAACGGGUGGAUUGGUGUGUACUCACUCCGUUUCAUAAUUCUUGUAGAACUAUUACAUGUAUAUAGACAUCUUUUAGAAAUAGAAAUAUCCAUUUUUGGGCAAAUUUGAGACAAAAAUUAUGAAACGGAGGGAGUAUUUUUUUUAAGCAGGACAACAACGAGCAACCAUUUUAAUUAAUUAAAAAUAAAAGAAACGAGAUGAAGCUACCAUUUUAUAGGAAUAAGUGUCCGCGCGUGUUGUGAGCGUCUGCUUUUGUAUUGUGUUUCUAAAAAAAUGUAGCAGUUGGGGCAGAUGGGUGAGCUGAGAUUAGGGUUAGGGAGUGUGCCACAUAUGCGGACCAUAUAUAUUGGGUCUCUGUUGGACGAUGUGAUGGAUCAAUUUUUUUUUUGAAAAAGCAUCCUAGUAGGUAACUCCCUUCGAUGCAUAAUAAGUGUCGGGGAUUUAGUACAGAGUCAUACAACUUUGUACUAAAUCAUCAACAUUUAUUAUGGAUCGGAGGAAGUACUUGCUAAAAACCCAACCAUAUACAAGAAUUAAAAGGUUGUUUUACAGUUUUCUUAAAAAAACAGUCAGGACACCUAAACGGCUACUCCUUCCGAAAGCAACGACAAGUAUUUAUGAACGGAGGGAGUAGAAUACUAUUAUUAUGAAAGUCGGUUUGUUUUCAAUCAGUGACAGUGCCAAGAUCGAUUUCAAUCAUGUGAUGUCAUAUACAUGUGUUUUAUAUGCAUGUUGUACUUAUUUUUUUUCACGUUGAUUUCAACGUGUGCAUAAUUUAGUUUUGGCAAAAAGCAAUAUGGUCAGUUGAUGAUCAGAGAACUUAUACGUGGUUUCACCAUUGUUUUCCUUCAUCUCAGUUGUAUAUCCUCUUAGCCAGAUCCGCUAAACCGUCCGUAAUACUAAUAUAUCAUCUACGUCAGUUUGUUUUAUGAACGGAUCGGACUACAAAAUUCAACUAAGGUUUUUCAUAUAUCAUUCAGUAGUCAGAUUUUUUUAGUCAGGUCUAUCUGCUAAACCGACUCUGUAGGGGGCGGGCUUAUAGCUGUUGGAAUAGCUUAAGGGACUAAGACGAAGGGUCCAGAAUAUAUAUAUACCCUUUUCACUAACUCGAUCUUUCUCCAGAGAAAAAAAAAACACUAGUUAUUUUUCAGAAAAAAAAACUAUAUAUAGUCAUGUUACACAUUAGGUAUAAGCUAGUCAUAUACCUCCCUCUCGCAAAAAGAAGCUAUGAGUGAGUCAUACUCACCUAAAGCCACAUAUUAAAAGGGUUGCAUCCUUUCUAUGGGUAUACCGUGUCGAAUCGCUAUGAUCACAAUCCCAGGCGGAUCUCGAUGCAAUCAUGCAUGGUCUCAUCUCCGUGGACUUGUUUAUUAGUGAGGCGCAUGCAUGCAUGUGAUUCACAUGCAGUAUUGCAUGGGCUACCCGCUAUUACAACAAAGCUCUAGCUAAGCUAGCUAGUUGUUAGGUCGAUCGUCUGUAAGACUAUAAAUAGAUAUCCCCUGCAUGUAGUCCUAGAAACACAUCACUGCGCACCAGUGCUAAGCAACGACGUACUCCCUACUUUGUAAGUUGUAACUGCACGUAGCUAGCUGAUCGAACCAAAUCCAAAUGGCCCCAGGCAUGGCUGCUGCUGGUGUUGUGAACGGCCAGGAGACGAUGAUCCAAGCCGAUAACAAGAGCAGAACUGUGGUCGCCGCCGGUGAAGCCGUCGUCGUUACUUGCGACAAGUUUGCGCCCUCCGUGUGGGGAGACUUCUUCGUCACCUACAUCCCUCCUGCUACUAUCUCACAGGCAUGCAUGGAUACACGUACUAUUAUGUGCGCACACAUUUAAUUUAAUUUACUCAACUGAAUUUACUGCUGGUUGUCUCUUCAAUUUAGGGUUUAUACUUCCUCUGUUUCAAAUUCUUGUCAUUGUUUUAAUGCAAAUUUGAACUAAAAUCACGACAAAAAAAUUAGUAAGGGAGGGAGUAGAAUGCAAGAAUAAAGAGAAUUUCGUGAUGUUGCAUAGCUAGGCUUUCAGAAACCUGACACCGUGCUCAACAUGCAUGCAUGACGCGAAAUCACGUACUGCACGUCCAAAUAAAUCGGCGCCAACUAAAUUAUGUACUCCGUCCGAUUCAUAAUAAGUGUCUUAGUUUUAUUACAAGACACUUAUUAUGGAUUGGAGGGAGUUCGAAAUACCUGAAACUGGUUUAAAACUCACAAGAUAUAUACUUAAAAAAGGCUAACUUUGGUCGUGAUCGUCUCCAUGGAUGCAGAGAUCGGAGGAGUGGAUGAGGGAACGGGCGGAGCAGCUCAAGGGGAAACUACGGCAGGUGUUCGAGGCGAGCAAGGAGGCCAUGACCGUAGCCGACGCGCUAACAUAUGUGGACACGCUCGAACGCCUGGGCUUAGACAACCACUUCCCCGAGGAGAUUGGAGCGGCAUUAAGCCGCGUCCGGACGGAAUCUGACGACGGCUCGGCUGACAGCCUACACUUCGUCGCCCUUCGGUUCCGCCUGCUUCGGCAGCAUGGCUUCUGGGUAUCUGCAGGUAAAUUCAUCUACUGCACGGUGUUAUCUUAGCUAAUCCAUAACGACCCUUUCAAAUGCAAAGCGGAAGAAAACGUGGAAUGUUGGUUAAUUACUUUGAACACCAGCAUUGUGCACGCUUUACAUGUGUUCUGAAUCGACGUGCAUGCAGAUGUAUUCGACAGAUUCAGAGACGACCAAGGCAGCUUCAGCAAGAGCCUCAGCAGUGACCCGAGGGGCCUGCUGAGCUUGUACAACGCGGCUCACAUGGCGGCGCCAGGCGAGGUGGCCCUCGACGACGCCAUCGCCUUCGCAAAGGGUCACCUGAUCGAGGCCAUCAAAGAAGGCAAGCUGGUUAGGUCCCCAAUAUUAGCCGAGCAGAUCUCCCGGGCCCUCGACAUUGCGCUCCCACGGUUCACUCGGCGGCUUGAGACCAUGCACUACAUUGGCGAGUAUGAGCAGGAGGCGGCGGCACACGACGACACGUUGCUCGAGCUUGCUAGGCUCAACUUUAAUCUCGUCAGAUCCCUUCACCUCAAGGAGCUCAAGGCACUCUGUUUGUAAGUCUUUUCUUCUCACAAGGAAAAAAGUUAGAAUAAAAUAGAUAAGCUGCUCUGGCAACAAAAACAAUGAUCAAUCAGCAGCAGGUACACCAACCAAUGAUGCAUAUGGAGUGUGCCUGCCAUACAAGAAACAUGGAUAGAAUUAACUUUUGUUGAACCAGAUGACGUGUGCGGCCGUGCAGAGGAGAUCACAUAUAAUACACAGCUUGUCUCACAAACAUCAUCCUUAAUCAGCUCAUCUUAAAAAAAAACACCAUCCUCAUUUUAUUAAUGAGAGAUUGUGUUAAGAGUAAACACGCAACUUUGACAUGUUAAGAGUAAAUUAAUUAGCGAUUUUGGCAUGCAGAUGGUGGAGGGACCUAUACGACACCGUGAAGCUACCGUACGCUCGGGACCGGAUGGUGGAGAUCUACUUUUGGACCUGCGGGAUGCUCCAUGAGGAGGAGUACUCCACCGCGCGGAUGCUCUUCGCCAAGACGUUUGGAAUGGUGUCUCUUCUGGACGACACUUUUGAUGUCCAUGCCACUCUGGAGGAGUGCCACAAGCUCAAUCAAGCUAUGCAGAGGUAGGCUAACGAGUUCCCUGCCUCAAUAUAUGACCAUCCUCUGUUUCUCUCUGCAUCUUGAUCUAGACCUGCCUUUUUUCGUCGAGAUCACUAUAAAUAAUGAAGGUAUCUUAACACUUAACUUACUUGUAUGUGCGUAGGUGGGAAGAAAGUGAGGUUUCUAUUCUACCGGAGUAUCUUCACAUGUUGUACAUCAAAACGCUUAGCAACUUCAAGGAGUUCGAGGACGCUUUGGAACCUAGCCACAAGUACCGCAUGUCUUACGCCAAAAAAGCGGUAUGGUGCACUACAUUAUUAAGAUGCAUAUUCGAUCGUUCAACCACAAGCAGCACACGCCUAUAGUUAUAUAGUUAUGGCGUGUAAUAUGUUUUUAAACAAUUUUGCAGUACAAGCUGUCAUCUGAAUAUUACCUCCGCGAGGCCAUCCUGUCGAGCGAGAGAUACCGGCCGAGCUUCAAGGAACACGAGGAGAUAUCCAUCAUGACGUCAGGCCUGCCGAUGCUUACCCUGGUGACUCUGAUGGGCUAUGGCGACGUGGCAACCCGAGAGGUGUUUGAGUGGGUAAGCCACGUUCCUGAAAUGGUCCGUGCUGGUUCCCAGGUCACCCGCUUCCUCAACGACAUCUCUUCCUACAGGGUACUCCAUCCCAUUCUAAAUUCUUGACUCAAAUUUGUCUAAAUAUGUAUGUAUCUAUUCUUAAAAAGUGUCUAGAUACAUGUAAUAUUUCGACAACAAUUUAAGAUCGGAGGGAGUAUAUACUCAUAGACGCAUACGUACUUACAUGUAUAUGCCAGUUCAUAAAUAAAGUACAUUCAUGAUAUGUCUGCAGCUGGGAAAGCACAAGAAGGAUAUGCCUAGCGCGGUGGAGUGCUACAUGAUGGAGGAGGGGUCGACAGGGGACGAGGCUGUGGAGGCGGUUGCGGCGCUCCUGGAGAACAGGUGGAGGGUGUUGAACCAGGUGAACAUGGAGAUCGACCGCACGCUCUCGCCGGCGGCGCAGGUGGUGGUGAACAUGGCGAGGACCAAUGAGAUCAUCUACCUCAAGGGCAGGGAUGCCUACACCUUCGGUGGCGAUCUCCAGGACCUCGUCACCACGCUAUUCCUUAAGCCGGUUCCCCUUUAGGAUGCGAUCGAUACUGUGUAGUAUGACUUAGAGCUACACAUUCACUGUCCAUGUAAUAAGCCUACUCAGCACCUAUGCAUAAUGGCAACAGCCUCAGCCUAGAUCGACAAAAUAAACAUACCUCGCCCAUGCUGGUACCCUAAAUAUGUUCAGAUCUAGAUGCAUUUGCAGUGCCAUUUAUUUCAUCUCUUGUAUUUGUAAGCAACGCAUGUAAUAAGUCGUAUAACCGUAAUGUAUCGUUUUGCCGAUUUUGAACUUUGCUCGCAGUUAGAGUGUGAUUUUUUUUGAGAAACACAGUACAAACGCAGACGCUCACAACGUGCGUACACUCACCCCUAUGAACACGAGUACGUCACCUAUCAAUGAAAGAAUAGUGCCGGUUAAAUCUUGAAUUAAUCUAAGAAAAUGUGACACUCAUGUCAAGUCUAGAACUUGAACCUGUGUGGGAUAAUUCCACCACCAGGAACCAGACCACCUGAGCUCUCAGUUCACAGUUAGAGUGUGAUGUGCACUGUAUUUGCGGCACGGGUGUUUCUCUUUUUUUUUUUUGAGCGAAACCAGUGUUUCUCUUGAUCCCUCAAAACAUUUGUGGGCUGAAACAGUCAUCCAAGCAGUUUGUUAAAGGCCGGACCUAAUAUUUUUUUUUUGAGGGAGGCCCCCUUAAAAUAACUGGACCAAAUAUAUUUCCAGAGCUGUAAGUUACAGCUAGAUCGGGCCAAUUCCGGCCAUCCAAGCUGGGCCUUGCGUAAGCUGGCCCCUUAAAAAACAAAAGAGAGGGACACCGGUUCGCUAGUAUCUGCAGAGUGCAGACUCGGGUCAGACCUAAAACCCAAACCGAUGCCGUUGCGGCCCUCCGACCGCCCAACCCGGCAAAACCCAGACCGCCAUGCUAGGGCCGCCGGAGAAGGUGGACAUGGAGGUGGAGCCGGCGGAGGCUGCGGCUGCGCUCGUGGCCUUGGCGUCGGAGCCCUCUCCGUCGCAGCUCGGUGAGCACAACCCCUGUGUGCAUACGUCGCGUGGGUGCUACUGAUUGUUUGAUUCUCGAGGGGAUGGGAUUUGUUAAGAUUGUUGAAGAUUUCUGUUCAACUCGGGGACUCUUUGGAGCACCAGCUCCUUCUUACUUCAGCUUCCAUUGGUUAAUUUCCCCAAUUUUUAGCUUCGGUAACUAUGAACUAUAUGCUCACGUUGAACGUCCAGACCUAGGAAUGGUGUGAAUUUUGGGGCCAAACCUGUUUGUAGGUAGUGCCUGCCAGGCUCUUCACUUGGUGACCUUGCACUAUUUUGUUCCUUUUGGUUGCUAACUUAUCCUGUUUAAAAAUCUCAGAGAACCUUGAGGGGCGCAGUUGCUUGUGUGUUAACCUCAGCAUUUUCUGCCCAAUAUUUGGAUUUUGGGUUAUCUUAAUGAGCCUAGUUCACCCUGUGGCAGGUCUACGUUUUUUUUGUUCUUUUUCGUUAUAUAUUGGAUGUUGAUUUGAGUCAUAUAAGGUGAUUCGAGAAAGGAGGUUGGGUCGAUGGUUAGGUUAUUGGUGUGAUAAUAUUAACUAGAUACAUAUACUAUUACUAAGUACCUUUGGUUAGGUUAUUGUGCUAGUAUUUCUGUGAUCUGAAUUGUGGGGACCUCUCCUUUUGCUGUUUCAGUAGUUGUUGGUGGAUUUGCAUCUCAAGAAUUUCCCAGGACAUGACUUAUUCUUUCAUUCUACACCAGAUGUUUUCAAGAACAGAAUUCAUUUAUUGCGUGAUGGAAACACGAGUGAUUUUGAUGCUUGGGUAUCUUUAAUAGGUUCUGUGGAGGAAACUAAUGCUGUAAGUGAAGUCUUUUUCUUUCUGGCUUCAAUUUGUAUUUGGCAGUUUAGUACUGUCUCUCUAUGUCCUAUUCGCUAUCUCAUAACUGAAUAAAACUAACUGGAAGAACGCAUGGUUUCUUACAAUGCUUUUGAUUCUGGGCUAAUGUAUGUUAAGCAGCACCUGGUUGCUGAUGUUUUCAUUCUUUCAGAAUGACAUAGAGGUUAUUAGCUUGGUCUACCGUAGCUUCUUACUGGAAUUUCCUUUGUGCCACGGCUACUGGAUCAAAUAUGCAGCUCACAAAGCACGGUUAUGCACAUAUGAAGAUGUGGUGGAUGUUUAUGAACAAGCCGUCCAAGCAGUUCCUCACUCUGUCGAUAUUUGGGUCAGUUACUGUGGAUUUGGUAUGAGUGUGCAUGAAGACCCUGCUCUUGUUAGAAGGUAAAGGAGACAUAAAAGUAACCUGCACUUCGAGGAUAUAUAUUUUUCUUUAGAUCUUGAAGAAAAAACAUCUGAUUCUUCGUACAAACAAUUUAUUUCCUUGUAUUCACUUGAAUUUUUUGACGAUCUCAGAGUAUAUAUAGGUUUUAAGUUGAUAGCAAUUGAUCAAGUACUAGAACUUCGAUCUGUCACAUUUUCCAAAUAAGCAUCACACUUAUCAUAUAUCAAUUAGAGAACUCUUAUGCCUGAGUACGAGCAUUGCAGAAGUUAAGAAUCAGGGAAAAGAAACAGACUGGGACUAUCUACCCUUAUUAAAAUAGAUACUCGAAUCACUUAUCUCUUCUCUCCCUCCCUCUCUCUCUGAUUGGUUGAAGGUUAAAUUGCACAUAUUGUAGGCUUGAUUUUUGUGGUUGGACUUGGAGAUACAUUAAGAAGCAAUGUUACCCGAUAAAAUUGACAUAUGGUGUCCAAUGGAAAGGGUAUACUGUAAUGACUAAGAAUGUAAUACCGAUAUUUGUGGCAUCAAGUUAUAGACACACAAUAUGAUGAUAUACAUCCUUUAAUCUGCUGGAUACCCCUUGAUCCUUCUUUUAUCAUGUUGCUGCUCUCCAUCAAUUUUUUUUAUGGAUUUUGUGACAGGUUAUUUGAGAGGGCCAUGUCUCUUGUUUCAAGGGAUUACUUGUGUUAUCACCUUUGGGAUAAGUACAUAGAAUUUGAGAAUUCGCAGAAGCAGCUGAUUCAGCUUGCUACAAUUUAUAUUAACAUGUUGAAAUAUCCCACAAAGAAGCUGCACAAGUAUUACGGAAGGUAUAUCAUAGUCUCUUCCUUGCAUGACUUUGAAGAUAUCACAUUUAUUUAACAUGGCAUCAUGCAAUGGUAGUGUACAACCUCCGAAGACCUUCUCUCGUGAUACAUAGCAAGUAAAAAAUUAUGGCACACCAAUUAGGCUUGCUCUCUCUAUAAGUAUUAUUAGGCUACUUUUUCCUCGUUCUCCCCAUGGUCCACUACUUUUUUCAUUGCCAUUGAUUCCAAUCUUAUGCCUGAUGGGAUGUUUGCUUGUUGAAUUCUAACAUGACUGACCGUGUAAAUCAUGUAACCCUCAAUCAGUUGCUGAGCAUGUCAAGCGAGUAUGUGUUGCUCCUCCAGAGGUUAGAUUUAUCGAGCAACUUGGCUCUUUUGGGAAACAUAGCUCCAGUGUCACAAGAGAACUAUCAUUUUUGCUUUUGCAUCGCUCUAGAUAUUUUGGUUCAUUGGAUUUUGUAAAUUUAUUGCAGGUUUUGGUAGCAUCUUGCUUGUUUUAGUUUUCGAGGAAAAACUAGCUUUAUCAGGGUUUACCAAUUUUGCUAAUAUCAGGCAAGGAUGCGUAAUUAGGCUACUUCAACCCAUAAUUUUUAAGAAAAUAGCAUAUAUCUUACCUUGCCAGUAAGGUUAGACAACAGUUGCGAGGAUGGUCAAGGGAUCAAUUAGACUAGUUCUGUAGUUCAACUUCAGAAGCUACCUGUUGAAGACCAUAGGAAAGGUUAUGUUGUCUUACUGCUAAGUAAGGUUACCCAUUACCAGAAAGCUGCUAGGAUUUAAGAGAUUCAGACAUACUCUUUUUUGAAGGAAGAAUUGUUUAGGACCGCUAUGAAACAUAGAUGAUAGAGCUACCCAUGCAACAAAAUUCCUAAUUUAUAACACUAGCCAUCAACUCGUUCAUCUGCACAGAAGUUCAACUAACAACUUUUCAAUUAUCUGUUUGUGAAUUUUAAUUUUGAAAAAUCUAUCUUAUCUAUCCAGAGACUCUUAAGGAAAUUGAUAUGUUAAUAUGAGAAAAUAUAAUUUGGCGAUAUCUAGUGCGAGAGUGCGACCAGGUUAUGAUGGUUCAGGUUUGUACGUCAGGUAAUGAAACAUUCCAUUUAAAACUGUCCAAUGCCUACCGUGGAUUAUAAAACUACAUGAACUUCUAGAUUCAUUUUUGAAGUAAAAUUGCAAGAGAAGCCCGGCAGUAUAAAUAGGAACCCAAAUUCGUGUCCACGAGGACUUGGACCCAAGUAGUUGGAUUGUACAUCCACUCUCCCAACCAUGUGAGCUACAGUCACUUCCUCUUUUAGAUUCAUUGGUGUAAAGUGCAGAUGAUACUCUUGCAAAAAAGAACUUUGGACGUGUAAGGGACACAAUAUUAGUUCAGGCAUGGACAUGUUCUGCGUUGUACUUCGAUUCCAUAUAAGUCAGUUAGAGAAAGUAAGUCUAACGUGAUUUGAUCUGGUACAUGAGGUGAGUCUAAGAUCAGUCUAACAUGUAAUAGGAUUAAAUCUGGUUCGGCGAGAGACACAUCAGUGGUUUAUUCUAUCAUAUGCUGAUCUGAGCCUUAUAACUUGGUCCUACUGAAUCGAUGACAGAUAUAUUUUCUUUUACUCUGAUUAGCCUGGGUUAAUCUGGGUUGUUAUAGCUUGGUCCUACCAGGACAGUGACUUUCUUUUUCUUUUUUUCUCCGAUUAUUGUGGGAACAUCUAUGCAUUCUGUGGUCAGUACAGUGAUAGAUAUGUAGAGUUUUACUUGCUGUUUUUUUUUCCUUUUCGUUGCCAGUUUUAAGAAGUUGGUAACAUCAUUGGAGCAAGAGUUUACAAACUGCGGUGCUGAAAUAUCAUCAGAAAAUCUACAUACUUCUGAAGUGAUGGAAGCUGAGGAAUCUGAACGGGAUAUCUCGAUUAAAAUUGCUGGCUUAUUUGACGGAGGUGGGCAUCUUAAGGCCGAAUCAUUGAGGCAGUACUUAUUAACUGGGGACCGUCUAUACCAAAGGUCCAGUAAAAUUGAUGAAGAAAUAUGUGGCUUUGAGGCAUCCAUUAGAAGGCCUUUUUUUCAUGUCAAGCCACUUGAUGAUGACCAACUUGAGAACUGGAACCUGUAUCUUGACUUUGUUGAGAAGAAUGGCGAUUUUGACUGGGUAUUUUUUUUUUGUCAUGAAACUGUUUUCCCUGUGCAUCAGGGUAGUUACAUUUUCUUUGCUAACAUCUGAUCACAUCUCGCAUCUUCGCCUCCUAUUUACAGGCUGUAAAACUUUAUGAGAGGUGCUUGAUCCCUUGUGCUAAUUAUUCGGAGUUUUGGAUUCGCUACGCUGAAUAUGUGGAUGCCAAAGGUGGCCGAGAGAUUGCAAACUAUGCUCUUGGUCGAGCAUCGUCGUGUUUUGUGAAGGUAUUGCUUGGCAAACUAUUUGUUUUGCUACAUGUAUUGUUACUCCCUCUGUUCCUAAUUAAUUGGCGUCGGAAAUUUUGCAAAAAAAACCUUGCUAUUUCUCGAAAUCGACCUGCAGUCCACGUUCUACCAGAAAUUUUGCAAAAAAACCCCUGUAGUUUUUUGCAAUCAACGCACAGUCCACGUUCAAUUGAAGAUGUGUACUGCAGCUUGAUUUCAUAAAUUAAUAGGAUUUUUUGCAAAAUGACCGGCGCCAAUUAAUUGGGAACGGAGGGAGUAGUAUUUAAAGCUUUUUGGAAGGACCUUACAUGCUUCUGUACUAGACCUGCUGUGCCAAGUACAUCAGAAGAAGGCGGAACCGCUUGUGUUUCAUCUACCAGGCCUCAGGAUUAAUUUCCUCUAUUCUGCCAUUUCUAAAAUCGUCAAAAGAUAGCCUGUUAAUUGUUUUGAGCAAAAAGCCUGUGAAUUUCAGAAUAAGAACCUAAAGUUUACAGAACAGCUGCAGCCUACAUCAGAAAAGAAGGUCUGACAAUGCUGAAUGAUAGCGCUGUUGAUUUAUCCAGUCUUGAAGUUCAUUAUUCCCUCCUGCAGCAUUUCCUUUGCUUUGCGACGUGGACAUUCACGGUUCAGCACUUAUUCGAUUGCUCAGUAACAAUUAUGCUUUUUCGUAUUUGUUCGUAUAUGAACUAGUUUAUUUCCUUUUGCUUAAUCUCAAUGAUAAUACAUCUCCCUUUAUAUACAAAUCGCACCUAUCUAUUCAAUCUGAACUUUCCAUCUGAAGAUGAUAUUACUUCCCAUCUACCAAAGAUAAUGUUCUAGGUUAUCUUGCUAGCCAAGAUAACUAAUUAUCCUUGGGUGUACUCACUUAGCCCCAGUAUGGCACCUGCUGCUACC
rnacentral:lncRNA from 1 species